rnacentral:lncRNA from 1 species
UGAGCAGAUCCACACGUACGUCGCAGCAAAAAUGUUAAAAGAAUGUUGGUUGUGUAGUCACUUUGAUCAGACACGUUUAAAAGGAUAUUGUAUAUAGUUGUAAUAGUAAGUAGUGCACUAUAUGGAGUGCUCAGGUGAGCCGAAUAAUGGUCGUUUAUAUGUAAGCGGACUAUGUCCACAUGUUGAAGCUGCUGCUACUAGUACGUUUGGAAGCGCUCAGCUAGUACAAUACUCAAAUCUUAUGGAAUGAAAUGGCUAUGUAGUGUGAUGCAUCGUUAUUUAGCCAAGUGAACUAGAUAAAUGUUCGUGUAAAUCUGAAGUGAUACUUGUCCACUUCAAUAUUAGAAUCAUCAAGCUCUAUAGGGGGAAACUUAUCACCUUGGGCUUGAGAGCAUCUCUAGCUCUAAAAACAUUAUACAGUUCCGAGCAGUUUUACGCCUCCUUUGGUUCUAAUUCAUAGGAAUACUAUAGUUCUAAUUCAUAGGAAUUCUAGAGGAGGAUUUGCAAAGAAAGUUUUUCUUUGAAGCCCUUUGGUUUAUAACAGGAGCCAAUCUUUUGAAGGAAUGGAUUUCUGUAAUGUUGAGACUCAGAUGGAAAAAUUCCUAUCCUACGCAUAAAAGGAAUUGAGAUGCAGAUCAUCUCACUUCUUACGAUUUUUUUUAUUCCUAUACUAUUUCUACCCUAUGAAACCAAAGGAGGUCAUCUCACUUCUUACGAUUUUCUUAUUCCUAUACCAUUUUCUAUACUAUAAAACCAAAGGAGGUCAUCUCACUUCGUAUGAUUUUCUUAUUCCUAUACCAUUUCUAUCCUAUAAAACCAAAGGAGGUAACAUGCUUCCUUUUACCUCCUCUUUUCACAUGAAGAUAAGAGUAUAUAUUAGAUCUGAGUCAUUUAUCUCAUUAAUUAGUGGUCUCCUUCUUACCUUCUCUUUUUAUACGAAGAUAAUUAAUAAAUCUGAGUCAUUUAUCUCAUUAAUUAGUGGCUUCUCAUUAAUUAGUGGUCUGAUUGCUUUUAUCUUCUUAACUCACAUGUAAGAAAAAGAUAAAAGGAGCAUGUUAAAAUUUGCCAUACAGUCCCCUAAACAAAUUUGCGGGAAGGAAUACUAGAGUCUGAUAUUUUUAUUGUUUUGUAGACUAUAAUUCUAUUCUGCUGUUAUUGGAGUCAUCCAAAGUGAAAAUUUUGAAGCACCUACGAAGACAUCAAUAUGCUGAAGAAUCACCCUUUUGUUAGAUUUGAGGAUCCUCGCGCCCGUCAACCGUGGAGGAGCCGGCCAUAGAGGUGAUUGCCACGGAGGAGCAGAAGCCGCGGGUGGGCGGCGGUGCAGGUUGGCCUUCAUCGCGCGCUGGGCGCAUCUGGGGCUGCUUCCUGCCGCAGGCGAUGAGGGAAGGAGGAACUAAGCCCACGACAAGCUUUUUUGGAUGGAGGGAGUAUUUGUGUUAAGUGUUACUCGCGAUGGGCGACCCCAGCGCUGCGCCCCUCCACCAGGCCCCCACAGGUGGCGGCCACCCUUCCGGCGCCUCCCGGUGACCAAAGCCAUGGCGAACGCGAACAAAAUGGAGUCCACGCGGGAGCGGAAGCUUGCGCUUCACCGGAACAUAGGUCAAUUAUAUCUUAAUUUUCGUUGAGGAUGGUUCUCUACACUGACGUGAUGUGACCGUGUGAAGUUCGUACCUGAAACCUCUGGAGCAUUGACUUUUUGUUUGUAGGAUUCUGAAACCGUGUUAUGCUAUGAGCAGACGGUGGCACUUCUAACAGAGAGGGCUAAUCAGAGUUUAGGGGGCAAAGGAGAUAAAUUAUCCAUAAACUCCGAGAAAUCUUUGAUAUUCAAGUGUAAUAAUUAAGGGUACACUUAAGAAUUUUUCUAGAGUAGGGGGACAAUGGCCCCCUUUGACCCCAUGAAGCUCCGCUACGGAUGCAGACUACGGGAAAACGAAUGGAUUAAGAUGAAGACGGUCAGUUCAAUUAGCGAGCAUGUGAAGGCUUGUGACACCUUCCAGCUAACACUUCAAUUUCUACCCGGUGAUGCAGCUAGAAGGACAGCCGCCUGUCUGAUGGAGCGGUUCUUGUUGCCUGUGUGGCGAAUCUGGAGAGCGUUGCUCCGGAAGCUCGCCUCGGUUGACCUCGUGGGGCUCUCCCAUCAGCAAAAGCUAGCCUUAUGGAUCAAUAUCUACUAAAUGACCCGUUGUGCCUAUGAAGCAAAAAGCGAGAGCAAGCCGAGCAUUCAAACAAUGCAAGUGAGAUUCAAUUAGAACCAAUUUAAUAGAUACUUAGGUACACAUAGCCCUAUAUAUUCCAUUGCAUGGUAGCAUGAUGCCUCAAAAGAAAGUUAUGACAUCACUUGAUGAUAACUUACAUUGGCUUUAUAAAGCAAGUUGUAUUAGCAGAGAUGCAUCACAUAUAUAGCACAAGCUUUGGCUUGAAUAGGACACGAAGGCGGUGGUAUUAGGUAGAGUCAUUAUUGCAUGUCCCAUCAAUAUCAAACAUGAUUUCAUCUAAGCAACUCUUACUGGCAGGUGUGUUUGGUGGGCUAUUGUAAGUGAAAGCAAAGAUGUCUUCCAUAUCGCCGAAUUCAUAUCUAAACCCGAGUGAUGCUUGAGACCAAAUGAAUAGAACUCAACUGUUGCUUCGAGGCCAAUCGUUCUGGCUUUGCAGGUUGAGUGAACUGCAUUUAGAAGUUGAAGCUGCUACAACAUAUCAUCCAGAAGCCUUUGUUGGGAUACUAACCUAAGCAUACAAAGAACAUGGAGUCAACUAAAAGAAAGUUUAAUAAAAACUAAAAUAAUAAAAAGCAGUAAAAGCUAAAAAAAUGGCAUAAAGCUAUUUCUAGAACAACACUUUUCACCACGACUAUUUUUUAGAACCUGUUCAUAGCAUAAAUUGCAUGGUUCAACAACUCAAGAAUGUCAAGCUAUUUUUUUGUAACCUUGUUCAUCAAUCACAUUUACGGAUCUUAGUAAAAAGGGAUGGAUACAAGGAGAUAUAAAAAAAAUCGACAAUAAGGCACACCCAUUUGGACAACAACGUGAGACAUAACAAUGUGAAAAGUAAAAAAGCAAGGACAAAUAUUCUGAUUUCAUCAGGUUGCGAGAACUAUCAUAAAUAAAUGCACUUCAUUACAUCAGAACCUUUCCCUGGAUGUGUCUUCAUCUUACGAACAUGUGAAAUAAUAAGAUCUAUGCAGACUACAUAUAUACACAAAAUAAAAGGAGAUAUAAGAAAAUCAUUCGAGGUUGAAGUAAAAUUCUGAAACUCUGGAUAUGUCAUGGACAAUUCGGCCUCAUGACAGUUAUUGCUAAUUUAUUUGUGAAUUUGUCAACCAACACAUACUCCAUACCCUAGGCCUAGGGUAAACGUCCGAAACUGUGGACAUUCAAGGUUGACCAUGUGCAAGAUAAAAAAAAUACUGCUAACAUACACAAAAGAAAAUGAGAUAUGCAGUUCGACAAUGCAAAUGGUUUAAAAUGAAGUAUUCAUACCCUGGGCCUUCAACCAUGGUGCCUAAAUCUUUUUUCUGCAAAGCAAAUGCAUCGGUACUGCAACGUGAAAAAAAUUAUCCUCCGGCUCAUUCAGAUAUGAGAGCAACUGGAUCUGCUCUGAAGGCUGAAACUGUAGAGAAUUUAGCUCACCUCAGAAGCAACCAAGCGAACCAUCCACAUCUCAGAAUUGUAACGACAUGAGAAUUCGGCACCUGCCGACACUAUGCAUGCGAAUAUUUGCAUCAGUAAAUAUUGCUUUGUGACACACUUGGAUAUCCAAUAGCUCCAAAGUGCACACAGAAUUAUAAUUGUAGACUGUAGGCUAUCCAUUGACAAGUUUUUUAUUGUUGCAUGGCAUUGCGAAAAUGAGGAGCAUUGUAAUGUCAAUGCGUUGGUACAGAAAAGAUUACUACAACAAUAAAAAGAAAAUUAUAACAUAAUGUUAACAAACUGAACAAAUUGCUUAUGCACAACAUCAAAUUGUUCAAGAGUCCAAUUAGAACAGAGAGUUAUGUAGUUAUAACCAAGUGAACUGAUUACAUUAUCGAGUAGCCUACAAAUAUAUAUAUGGUCAUACGCAGACAUACAAUUAUUAGUUAUAAAAGUUCAGAUCCACUACAUGGAGUAUGAUUCAGCCACACAUCAUAAGUGGGUGAGAUGAUUCAUUAUAUUUAGGAUAAAACAUAAAAGAAAUAUAAAGCCAAAGGCCCGCUACAUGAGCUUUAUGUAGGCGAUAACACAGGCUCAUGAUGAUGCCCUUAGAGGCAACGAACAGGAAAAGUGAGGCGGUGUUGUACUGACAGCACAACCCUCUAGGCCUCUACCUCAUAAUUAUUAACCUUGUACAUAGGUGAUAACAACGACCAGAAGACAACUUUAGUUAGCGCAGGAGCAAAGGUACGAGGCAACAAAGAUCCCAUUUCAAACUUAUUUGAAAAUAAAUGCUUAGUAAUUUGGCAAUACUCAGAACCCUUUUAACAACCGAAAUUUAGGCAAACAUCUCUUUCAAAAUAUAUAAGAGUUUUCAAAAUGCGGCCAUAAGUUCUAUUUGUACAAUUUGUUGUAUUAGAUGAUUUGUUGCGUCUAAUACGUAAAAUACAUAGAAAGCUACAGAAUGUAAAACAUGACAAACAAUCCUCCAUUGCAUCAAUUAAAACAUGCAGCAACUGAUAAAAGCUGAUGAUUGAAUUUUUGUGUUAUCUUUGUAACAGAUAAAAGAAACACUCUAGGCACAUAUUGACCAUAGCACUUUGGGUCAAAAUUAAAUUCAGAUAAGUAUAUAAAAUCAGCAAUGCUAGAUAACUGAAAGGAAAAAUGUCUUGGCAAAGUCGAUCAAUACCAUAAAGCAAAUGAAGUAUGGUUUUGAGUCAGCAAAAUCAAUCAACAAAAGCCGUGAAACUUGUGGUCAUCGAGAGAAGAGCAUUAUCCUUCUCCCUAUCAUCACGCUUGAUUCUUCUGCCACAAGAUAGAAAUAGACUACUUUCUCAAGCUUCAUAGAUGAAUCCUGAUAGAAACAAACUACUUGAGAAUCACAGUUGUGCAAAAUUGCAAAUGACUAAGAAAAGAUUAUAUAUUAAUAUUCUGAAUCAGUGUGUCACUAAACAUAUAUAUGUGUCAAUUAAUUGAAGAAACAAAAGAUAAAUGGUUACACUGCUGAUCAGAUUGUUACCCCAUCAUAUAGGAAUGGCUUAUUUCUUGCAUUUUCCCAAGCAAAGGUACGGUUUAUCAGGUUGCCCACCAUAGCUGGGAAAGAUAUGGGUCUUGCGACUGAAAUACACGAAUAGUUCUCCAGCCUUUUCUGCCCUUUUAAGGUUUACGUGAGCAUCCCUUCCAGAACUAUACCUCUUUGAGUCCUGCAAAAUAGCUUUGGUGUCAUUUUUCAUACUUAGGGAACCAUAUAAUUUUCUAUAAAAAUGCAUGCAGGCAGGUUAGUCAGUGUAACAAGUGCAUAUGCUAUGCUCAGUAUUUGAUCAUUGUAAGCCCAAAGCAAAUAGCCUAAAACUACAUGGUUAUAUUCUUCAAGCCAAGCCUCUUCAUCACAAGCACCAAUCCAUUUAUUUAACCUGUCCAUAAUAUCUUUUCGACUUAGUGACUCUUCUUCUGCUUUCAAUAUUUGUGACUCGAUAUUCAUGAGGAGCCCACAAGGGUAAAUAGUGCCUGAAUGGUGCAUAGGCAAGAGUCACAAUGUGUAAGAAAACAACCACUGGUGAAGAUAGUUACUUGAGCAAGAUGCAUAAAGUAUAACCAGAAUCAAUCAGAGUGUUGGUUUGCUCAGGGGGCUAUGCUGAGAUCAAGUUCUAUGUGUGCAUUCUCGCAUAAAUGUUCUAAUUCGGUCCUUCUCUUUGUGACAAGUUCUUCCAUUCUGUUCGUUUUAACUUCUGUUAACCUCUCAACCGCAGCUUCCAUCUGCAUAAGAAAUCAGCACUGAAGUUGUAAAAAAUGAUUAAGGUAAGCAACAAAAAAGGUAUUAAAGAAAAACCAAAGGCGAUCUGGAAAACCUUCCUGAUUGUUUCCUAGGAAAGAACACCAACGGGCGUGGUUCCCUCUUCUGGUGAUAUGAGAAUGCUGAUUACUUUGCUGAAUUGUCUCUUCUCCUCUUUAGAAGAGUCCAUUAACUUCCGGAGGUGACAUAAUGAUUCCAUUGUGUCUCUCAUCUAUAGGCAAACGAUUGCUUGAGAAUGCAUUAUGCAGAACUCAUAUAAAAAAGUUAGAUGAAAGGAACCUUGAGAGUACCUUAUCGAUUCUAGAUUUUCUCUGUGCUUUAAGAUUUGAUAUUGUGCUAGCAAGACCUUCCAGUGUGCCAUUGUUGAUGUUUCUGGACUGCUCAACACAAUUCUGAUGUAGACUGGGAUGAAUCCAUUUACAGUCUUGCGAAAUCAGGGACUCCACAUAAAGAAUGCACUUCAUUUACAUAUUUCAGAACUUUGUGAAGUAUAUCAGACUAAAAAUAUUGCAAACAAGGAAAUGAUACGUCUCCAACGUAUCUAUAAUAUUUGAUUGUUCCAUGCUAUUAUAUUAUCUGUUUUGGAUGUUUAUGGGCUUUAUUAUACACGUUUAUAUUAUUUUUGGGACUAACCUAUUAACCGGAGGCCUAGCCCAAAUUGCUGUUUUCUUGCCUAUUUCAGUGUUCCGAAGAAAAGGAAUAUCAAACGGAGUCCAAAAGGAAUGAAACCUUCGGGAGAGUUAUUUUUGGAACGGAAGCAAUCCAGGAGACUUGGAGUAGACGUCAGGGAAGCUUCGAGGUGGCCACGAGGCAGCGAGGCGCGCCCUGUUGGAAAUAUGCUCUAGAGGCAAUAAUAAAAUGGUUAUUAUUAUAUUUCCUUGUUCAUGAUAAUUGUCUAUUGUUCAUGCUAUAAUUGUGUUAUCCGGAAAUCGUAAUACAUGUGUGAAUACAUAGACCACAACGUGUCCCUAGUAAGCCUCUAGUUGACUAGCUCGUUGAUCAACAGAUAGUCAUGGUUUCCUGACUAUGGACAUUGGAUGUCAUUGAUAACGGGAUCACAUCAUUAGGAGAAUGAUGUGAUGGACAAGACCCAAUCCUAAGCAUAGCACAAAGAUCGUGUAGUUCGUUUGCUAGAGCUUUUCCAAUGUCAAGUAUCAUUUCCUUAGACCAUGAGAUCGUGUAACUCCCGGAUGCCGUAGGAGUGCUUUGGGUGUACUAAACGUCACAACGUAACUAGGUGACUAUAAAGGUACACUACAGGUAUCUCUGAAAGUGUCUGUUGGGUUGACACGGAUCGAGACUGGGAUUUGUCACUCCGUAUGACGGAGAGGUAUCUCUGGGCCCACUCGGUAAUGCAUCAUCAUAAUGAGCUCAAUGUGACCAAGUGUUUGGUCACGGGAUCAUGCAUUACGGUAUGAGUAAAGUGACUUGCCGGUAACGAGAUUGAACGAGGUAUUGGGAUACCGACGAUCGAAUCUCGGGCAAGUAAUGUACCGGUUGACAAAGGGAAUUGUAUACGGGAUUGAUUGAAUCCUCGACAUCGUGGUUCAUCCGAUGAGAUCAUCGAGGAACAUGUGGGAGCCAACAUGGGUAUCCAGAUCCCGCUGUUGGUUAUUGAACGGAGAGUCGUCUCGGUCAUGUCUGCAUGUCUCCCGAACCCGUAGGGUCUACACACUUAAGGUUCGGUGACGCUAGGGUUUUAGAGAUAUUAGUAUGCGGUAAUCCGAAAGUUGUUCGGAGUCCCGGAUGAGAUCCCGGACGUCACGAGGAGUUCCGGAAUGGUCCGGAGGUGAAGAAUUAUAUAUAGGAAGUCCAGUUUCGGCCACCGGGAAAGUUUCGGGGGUUACCGGUAUUGUACCGGGACCACCGGAAGGGUCCCGGGGGUCCACCGGGUGGGGCCACCUAUCCCGGAGGGCCCCAUGGGCUGAAAUGGGAGGGGAACCAGCCCCUGGUGGGCUGGUGCGCCCCCCUUGGGCCUCCCCCUGAUCUCCCAGGGCCGGCGCCCCCCAGGAGGCCUAUAUAUAGGAGGGGGGAGGGAGGGCAGCCACACCACAGCCCCUGGCGCCUCCCUCUCCCUCCCGUGACACAUCUCCCUCCUCCCGCAGCGCUCGGCGAAGCCCUGUCGGAAUCCCGCUACUUCCACCACCACGCCGUCGUGCAGCUGGAUCUCCAUCAACCUCUCCUCCCCCCUUGCUGGAUCAAGAAGGAGGAGACGUCGCUGCUCCGUACGUGUGUUGAACGCGGAGGUGCCGUCCGUUCGGUGCUCGGUCAUCGGUGAUUUGGAUCACGACGAGUACGACCCCAUCAACCACGUUCACUUGAACGCUUCCGCUCGCGAUCUACAAGGGUAUGUAGAUGCACUCCUCUCUCUCGUUGCUAGAUGACUCCAUAGAUUGAUCUUGGUGAUGCGUAGAAAAUUUUAAAUUUCUGCUACGAUCCCCAUUAGUGGUAUCAGAGCCAGGCCUAUGCGUAGUUUCUAUGCACGAGUAGAACACAAACUUGUUGUGGGCGUAGAUGUUGUCAAUUUUCUUGCCACUACUAGUCUUAUCUUGUUUCGGCGGCAUUGUGGGAUGAAGCGGUCCGGACCGACCUUACACGUACGCUUACGUGAGACAGGUUCCACCGACUGACAUGCACUAGUUGCAUAAGGUGGUUAGCGGGUGUCUGUCUCUCCCACUUUAGUCGGAACGGAUUCGAUGAAAAGGGUCCUUAUGAAGGGUAAAUAAAAAUUGGCAUAUCACGUUGUGGUUUUACGUAGGUAAGAAACGUUCUUGCUAGAAACCUAUAGAAGCCACGUAAAAACAUGCAACAAUAAUUAGAGGACGUCUAACUUGUUUUUGCAGCAUGUGCCUUGUGAUGUGAUAUGGCCAAAAGGAUGUGAUGAAUGAGAUAUAUGUGAUGUAUGAGAUUGAUCAUGUUCUUGUAAUAGGAAUCACGACUUGCAUGUCGAUGAGUAUGACAACCGGCAGGAGCCAUAGGAGUUGUCUUUAUUUUUUGUAUGACCUGCGUGUCAUUGAAUAACGCCAUGUAAAUUACAUUACUUUAUUGCUAAACACGUUAGCGAUAGAAGUAGAAGUAAUCGUUGGCGUGACAACUUCAUGAAGACACGAUGAUGGAGAUCAUGAUGAUGGAGAUCAUGGUGUCAUGCCGGUGACGAAGAUGAUCAUGGCGCCCCGAAGAUGGAGAUCAAAAGGAGCAAAAUGAUAUUGGCCAUAUCAUGUCACUAUUUGAUUGCAUGUGAUGUUUAUCAUGUUUUACAUCUUAUUUGCUUAGAACGACGGUAGCUUAAAUAAGAUGAUCCCUCGCAAUAAUUUCAAGAAAGUGUUCCCCCUAACUGUGCACCGUUGCGAAGGUUCGUUGUUUCGAAGCACCACGUGAUGAUCGGGUGUGAUAGAUUCUAACGUUCGAAUACAACGGGUGUAAGCCAGAUUUACACACGCAAUACACUUAGGUUGACUUGACGAGCCUAGCAUGUAUAGACAUGGCCUCGGAACACGGAAGACCGAAAGGUCGAGCAUGAGUCGUAUAGAAGAUACGAUCAACAUGAAGAUGUUCACCGAUGUUGACUAGUCCGUCUCACGUGAUAAUCGGACACGGCCUAGUUGACUCGGAUCAUGUUUCACUUAGAUGACUAGAGGGAUGUCUAUCUGAGUGGGAGUUCAUUGAAUAAUUUGAUUAGAUGAACUUAAUUAUCAUGAACUUAGUCUAAAAUCUUUACAAUAUGUCUUGUAGAUCAAAUGACCCACGUUGCCCUCAACUUCAACGCGUUCGUAGAGAAAACCAAGCUGAAAGAUGAUGGCAGCAACUAUACGGACUGGGUCCGGAACCUGAGGAUCAUCCUCAUAGCUGCCAAGAAACAUUAUGUCCUAGAAGCACCGCUAGGUGAAGCACCCAUCCCAGAGAACCAAGACGUUAUGAACGCUUGGCAGUCACGUGCUGAUGAUUACUCCCUCGUUCAGUGCGGCAUGCUUUACAGCUUAGAACCGGGGCUCCAAAAGCGUUUUGAGCAAAACAGAGCAUAUGAGAUGUUCGAAGAGCUGAAAAUGGUUUUCCAAGCUCAUGCCCGGGUCGAGAGAUAUGAAGUCUCCGACAAGUUCUUCAGUUGUAAGAUGGAGGAAAACAGUUCUGUCAGUGAGCACAUACUCAAAAUGUCUGGGUUGCACAACCGCUUGACUCAGCUGGGAGUUAAUCUCCCGGAUGACGCGGUCAUUGACAGAAUCCUUCAGUCGCUUCCACCAAGCUACAAGAGCUUUGUGAUGAACUUCAAUAUGCAGGGGAUGGAAAAGACCAUUCCUGAGGUAUAUUCAAUGCUGAAAUCAGCGGAGGUGGAGAUCAGAAAGGAACAUCAAGUGUUGAUGGUGAAUAAAACCACUAAGUUCAAGAAAGGCAAGGGUAAGAAGAACUUCAAGAAGGACGGCAAGAGAGUUGCCGCGCCCGGUAAGCCAGUUGCCGGGAAGAAACCAAAGAAUGGACCCAAGCCUGAGACUGAGUGCUUUUAUUGCAAGGGAAGUGGUCACUGGAAGCGGAACUGCCCCAAAUACUUAGCGGACAAGAAGGCCGGCAACACCAAAGGUAUAUGUGAUAUACAUGUAAUUGAUGUGUACCUUACCAGUACUCGUAGUAGCUCCUGGGUAUUUGAUACCGGUGCGGUUGCUCAUAUUUGUAACUCAAAACAGGAGCUGCGGAAUAAGCGGAGACUGGCGAAGGACGAGGUGACGAUGCGUGUCGGGAAUGGUUCCAAGGUCGAUGUGAUCGCCGUCGGCACGCUACCUCUACAUUUACCUACGGGAUUAGUUUUAAACCUCAAUAAUUGUUAUUUAGUGCCAGCUUUGAGCAUGCACAUUGUAUCAGGAUCUCGUUUAAUGCGAGAUGGCUACUCAUUUAAAUCCGAGAAUAAUGGUUGUUCUAUUUAUAUGAGAGAUAUGUUUUAUGGUCAUGCCCCGCUGGUCAAUGGUUUAUUCUUAAUGAAUCUCGAACGUGAUGUUACACAUAUUCAUAGUGUGAAUACCAAAAGAUGUAAAGUUGAUAACGAUAGUCCCACAUACUUGUGGCACUGCCGCCUUGGUCACAUUGGUGUCAAGCGCAUGAAGAAGCUCCAUGCAGAUGGACUUUUGGAGUCUCUUGAUGACGAAUCAUUUGACACGUGCGAACCAUGCCUCAUGGGCAAAAUGACCAAGACUCCGUUCUCCGGAACAAUUUAGCGAGCAACCAACUUAUUAGAAAUCAUACAUACUGAUGUGUGCGGUCCAAUGAGUGUUGAGGCUCGCGGAGGCUAUCGUUAUGUUCUCACUCUCACUGAUGACUUGAGUAGAUAUGGGUAUGUCUACCUAAUGAAACACAAGUCUGAGACCUUUGAAAAGUUCAAGGAAUUUUAGAGUGAGGAUGAGAAUCAACGUGACAGGAAAAUAAAGUUCCUACGAUCAGACCGUGGAGGGGAAUAUUUAAGUCACGAAUUUGGCACACACUUAAGGAAAUGUGGAAUAGUUUCACAACUCACGCCGCCUGGAACACCUCAGCGAAAUGGUGUGUCCGAACGUCGUAAUCGCACUCUAUUGGAUAUGGUGCGAUCUAUGAUGUCUCUUACCGAUCUACCGCUCUCAUUUUGGGGCUAUGCUUUAGAGACUGCCGCAUUCACUUUAAAUAGGGCUCCGUCGAAAUCCGUUGAGACGACACCGUAUGAAUUAUGGUUUGGGAAGAAACCUAAGCUGUUGUUUCUAAAAGUUUGGGGAUGCGAUGCUUAUGUCAAGAAACUUCAACCUGAAAAGCUCGAACCCAAGUCGGAAAAAUGCGUCUUCAUAGGAUACCCUAAGGAAACCAUUGGGUAUACCUUCUACCUCAGAUCCGAAGGCAAGAUCUUUGUUGCCAAGAACGGGUCCUUUCUGGAGAAAGAGUUUCUCUCAAAAGAAGUGAGUGGGAGGAAAGUGGAACUUGAUGAGGUGAUAGUCACCCCUUCCGAACCGGAAAGUAGCGCAGCGCGGGAAAAUGUUCCUGUGGUGCCUGCACCGACUGGGGAGGAAGUUAAUGAUGAUCAUGAAGCUUCAGAUCAAGUUACUGCUGAACUUCGUAGGUCCACAAGGACACGUUCCGCACCAGAGUGGUACAGCAACCCUGUCUUGGAAAUCAUGUUGUUAGACAACGGUGAACCUUCGAACUAUGAAGAAGCGAUGGCGGGCCCGGAUUCGAACAAAUGGCUUGAAGCCAUGCAAUCCGAGAUAGGAUCCAUGUAUGAAAACAAAGUAUGGACUUUGACUGACUUGCCCGAUGAUCGGCGAGCGAUAGAAAACAAAUGGAUCUUUAAGAAGAAGACAGACGCGGAUGGUAAUGUGACCAUCUAUAAGGCUCGACUUGUCGCUAAGGGUUAUCAACAAGUUCAAGGGGUUGACUACGAUGAGACUUUCUCACCCGUAGCGAAGCUGAAGUCCGUCCGAGUCAUGUUAGCAAUUGUCGCAUUCUAUGAUUAUGAGAUAUGGCAAAUGGACGUCAAAACGGCAUUCCUUACCGGCUUUCUUAAGGAAGAAUUGUAUAUGAUGCAGCCGGAAGGUUUUGUCGAUCCUAAGAAUGCUAACAAGGUAUGCAAGCUCCAGCGCUCCAUCUAUGGGUUGGUGCAAGCAUCUCGGAGUUGGAACAUUCGAUUUGAUGAGAUGAUCAAAGCAUUUGGGUUUACACAGACUUAUGGAGAAGCCUGUGUUUACAAGAAAGUGAGUGGGAGCUCUGUAGCAUUUCUCUUAUUAUAUGUGGAUGACAUACUAUUGAUGGGAAAUGAUGUAGAAUUCUUGGAAAGUAUAAAGGCCUAUUUGAAUAAGUGUUUUUCAAUGAAGGACCUUGGAGAAGCUGCUUAUAUAUUAGGCAUCAAGAUCUAUAGAGAUAGAUCAAGACGCCUCAUUGGUCUUUCACAGAGUACGUACCUUGACAAGAUAUUGAAGAAGUUCAAUAUGGAUCAGUCCAAGAAGGGGUUCUUGCCUGUAUUGCAAGGUGUGCAAUUGAGUACGGCUCAAUGCCCGACCACGGCAGAAGAUAGAGAAAAGAUGAGUGUCGUCCCCUAUGCCUCGGCCAUAGGGUCUAUUAUGUAUGCCAUGCUGUGUACCAGACCUGAUGUAAACCUUGCCGUAAGUUUGGUAGGAAGGUACCAAAGUAAUCCCGGCAUGGAACACUGGACAGCGGUCAAGAAUAUCCUAAGUACCUGAAGAGGACUAAGGAUAUGUUUCUCGUUUAUGGAGGUGACGAAGAGCUCGUCGUAAAGGGUUACGUCGAUGCUAGCUUCGACACAGAUCUGGAUGACUCUAAGUCACAAACCGGAUACGUGCAUAUUUUGAAUGGAGGGGCAGUAAGCUGGUGCAGUUGCAAGCAAAGCGUCGUGGCGGGAUCUACAUGUGAAGCGGAGUACAUGGCGGCCUCAGAGGUAGCGCAAGAAGCAAUCAGGAUGAAGGAGUUCAUUACCGACCUAGGGGUGAUUCCCAAUGCGUCGGGCCCGAUGACUCUCUUCUGUGACAACACUGGAGCUAUUGCCCUUGCCAAGGAGCCCAGGUUUCACAAGAAGACCAGGCAUAUCAAGCGUCGCUUCAACUCCAUUCGUGAAAGUGUUCAAAAUGGAGACAUAGAUAUUUGUAAAGUACAUACGGACCUAAAUGUAGCAGAUCCGUUGACUAAACCUCUCCCUAGAGCAAAACAUGAUCAACACCAGAACUCUAUGGGUGUUCGAUCCAUCACAAUGUAACUAGAUUAUUGACUCUAGUGCAAGUGGGAGACUGUUGGAAAUAUGCCCUAGAGGCAAUAAUAAAAUGGUUAUUAUUAUAUUUCCUUGUUCAUGAUAAUUGUCUAUUGUUCAUGCUAUAAUUGUGUUAUCCAGAAAUCGUAAUACAUGUGUGAAUACAUAGACCACAACGUGUCCCUAGUAAGCCUCUAGUUGACUAGCUCGUUGAUCAACAGAUAGUCAUGGUUUCCUGACUAUGGACAUUGGAUGUCAUUGAUAACGGGAUCACAUCAUUAGGAGAAUGAUGUGAUGGACAAGACCCAAUCCUAAGCAUAGCACAAAGAUCGUGUAGUUCGUUUGCUAGAGCUUUUCCAAUGUCAAGUAUCAUUUCCUUAGACCAUGAGAUCGUGUAACUCCCGGAUGCCGUAGGAGUGCUUUGGGUGUACCAAACGUCACAACGUAACUGGGUGACUAUAAAGGUACACUGCAGGUAUCUCUGAAAGUUUCUCUUGGGUUGACACGGAUCGAGACUGGGAUUUGUCACUCUGUAUGACGGAGAGGUAUCUCUGGGCCCACUCAGUAAUGCAUCAUCAUAAUGAGCUCAAUGUGACCAAGUGUUUGGUCACAGGAUCAUGCAUUACGGUACGAGUAAAGUUACUUGCCGGUAACGAGAUUGAACGAGGUAUUGGGAUACCGACGAUCGAAUCUCGGGCAAGUAACAUACCGGUUGACAAAGGGAAUUGUAUACGGGAUUGAUUGAAUCCUCGACAUCGUGGUUCAUCCGAUGAGAUCAUCGAGGAACAUGUGGGAGCCAACAUGGGUAUCCAGAUCCCGCUGUUGGCUAUUGACCGGAGAGUCGUCUCGGUCAUGUCUGCAUGUCUCCCGAACCCGUAGGGUCUACACACUUAAGGUUCGGUGACGCUAGGGUUGUAGAGAUAUUAGUAUGCGGUAACCCGAAAAUUAUUCAGAGUCCCGGAUGAGAUCCCGGACGUCACGAGGAGUUCCGGAAUGGUCUGGAGGUGAAGAAUUAUAUAUAGGAAGUCCAGUUUCGGCCACCGGGAAAGUUUCGGGGUUUACCGGUAUUGUACCGGGACCACCGGAAGGGUCCCGGGGGUCCACCGGGUGGGGCCACCUAUCCCGGAGGGCCCCAUGGGCUGAAGUGGGAGGGGAACCAGCCCCUGGUGGGCUGGUGCGCCCCCCCUUGGGCCUCCCCCUGCGCCUAGGGUUGGAAACCCUAGGGGUGGGGGCGCCCCCCACUUGGCUUGGGGGGAAGCCACCCCUUGGCCGCCGCCCCCCUUGGAGAUCUGAUCUCCCAGGGCUGGCGCCCCCCCAGGAGGCCUAUAUUGUUGGGGAACAUAGUAAUUUCAAAAAAUUUCUACGCACACGGAAGAUCAUGGUGAUGCAUAGCAACGAGAGGGGAGAGUGUUGUCCACGUACCCGCGUAGACCGAUAGCGGAAGCGUUUAACACAACGCGGUUGAUGUAGUCGUACGUCUUCACGAUCCGACUGAUCAAGUACCGAACGCACGGCACCUCCAAGUUCAGCACACGUUCAGCUCGAUGACGUCCCUCGAACUCCGAUCCAGCCGAGUGUUGAGGGAGAGUUUUGUCAGCACGACGGCGUGGUGACAAUGUUGAUGUUCUACCGACGCAGGGCUUCGCCUAAGCACCGCUACACAGCUAAGAGAUCAAUGAUCAAUUGUGUGUCUAUGGGGUGUCCCCCUGCCCCCAUAUAUAAAGGAGCAAGGGGGGAGGCGGCCGGCCUAGGAGGAGGGCGCGCCAAGGGGGGAGUCCUACUCCCAUCGGGAGUAGGACUCCUCCUUUCCUUGUUGGAGUAGGAAAAGGGAAGGGAGAAGGAGAAAGAAGGAAGGGGGCGCUCCCCCUCCCUAGUCCAAUUCGGACUAGUCCAUGGGGAGGGGUGCGGCCUCCCUUUGGGGUCUUUCUCUCCUUUCCCGUAUGGCCUAUUAAGGCCCAAUACGAAUUCCCGUAACUCUCCGUUACUCCGAAAAAUACCCGAAUCACUCGGAACCUUUCCGAAGUCCGAAUAUAGUCGUCCAAUAUAUCGAUCUUUACGUCUCGGACAUUUCGAGACUCCUCGUCAUAUCCCCGAUCUCAUCCGGGACUCCGAACUCCUUCGGUACAUCAAAAUACAUAAACUCAUAAUAAAACUGUCAUUGUAACGUUAAGCGUGCGGACCCUAUGGGUUCGAGAACUAUGUAGACAUGACCGAGACACCUCUCCGGUCAAUAACCAAUAGCGGAACCUGGAUGCUCAUAUUGGUUCUCACAUAUUCUAUGAAGAUCUUUAUCGGUCAGACCGCAUAACAACAUACGUUGUUCCCUUUGUCAUCAGUAUGUUACUUGCCCGAGAUUCGAUCGUCGGUAUCUCGAUACCUAGUUCAAUCUCGUUACCGGCAAGUCUCUUUACUCGUUCCGUAAUACAUCAUCCCGCAACUAACUCAUUAGUCACAAUGCUUGCAAGGCUUAUAGUGAUGUGUAUUACUGAGUGGGCCCAGAGAUACCUCUCCGACACUCGGAGUGACAAAUCCUAAUCUCGAAAUACGCAACCCAACAAGUACCUUUGGAGACACCUGUAGAGCACCUUUAUAAUCACCCAGUUACGUUGUGACAUUUGGUAGCACACAAAGUGUUCCUCCGGUAAACGGGAGUUGCAUAAUCUCGUAGUCAUAGGAACAUGUAUAAGUCAUGAAGAAAGCAAUAGCAACAUACUAAACGAUCGAGUGCUAAGCUAACGGAAUGGGUCAAGUCAAUCACAUCAUUCUCCUAAUGAUGUGAUCCCGUUAAUCAAAUGACAACUCAUGUCUAUGGCUAGGAAACAUAACCAUCUUUGAUCAACGAGCUAGUCAAGUAGAGGCAUACUAGUGACACUCUGUUUGUCUAUGUAUUCACACAAGUAUUAUGUUUUCGGUUAAUAAAAUUCUAGCAUGAAUAAUAAACAUUUAUCAUGAUAUAAGGAAAUAAAUAAUAACUUUAUUAUUGCCUCUAGGGCAUAUUUCCUUCAUAUAUAUAGGAGGGGGGAGGGAGGGCAGCCGCACCACAGCCCCUGGCGCCUCCCUCUGCCUCCCGUGACACAUCUCCCUCCUCCUGCAGCGCUCGGCGAAGCCCUGUCGGAAUCCCGCUACUUGCACCACCACGCCGUCGUGCUGCUGGAUCUCCAUCAACCUCUCCUCCCCCCUUGUUGGAUCAAGAAGGAGGAGACGUCGCUGCUCCGUACGUGUGUUGAACGCGGAGGUGCCGUCCGUUCGGCGCUCGGUCAUCGGUGAUUUGGAUCACGACGAGUACGACUCCAUCAACCCCGUUCACUUGAACGCUUCCGCUCGCGAUCUACAAGGGUAUGUAGAUGCACUCCUCUCUCUCGUUGCUAGAUGACUCCAUAGAUUGAUCUUGGUGAUGCGUAGAAAAUUUUAAAUUUCUGCUACGAUCCCCAACACGCCCCCACCCUCGUGGGCCCCUCGUUGCUCCCCUGAUCGACUUCUUUCGCCUAUAUAUGUCCAUAUACCCUAAAAACAUCGAGGGACAGAAUAGAUCGGGAGUUCCGCCGCCGCAAGCCUUUGUAGCCACCAAAAACCAAUCAGGACCCUGUUCCGGCACCCUGCCAGAGGGGGAUCCCUCACCGGUGGCCAUCUUCAUCAUCCCGGCGCUCUCCAUGACGAGGAGGGAGUAGUUCACCCUCGGGGCUGAGGGUAUGUACCAGUAGCUAUGUGUUUGAUCUCUCUCUCUCUCUCUCUCUCUCGUGUUCUUGAGGUGGUACGAUCUUGAUGUAUCGCGAGCUUUGCUAUUAUAGUUGGAUCUUAUGAUGUUUCUCCCCCUCUACUCUCUUGUAAUGGAUUGAGUUUUCCCUUUGAAGUUAUCUUAUCGGAUUGAGUCUUUAAGGAUUUGAGAACACUUGAUGUAUGUCUUGCAUGUGCUUAUCUGUGGUGACAAUGGGAUAUCACGUGAUUCCCUUGAUGUAUGUUUUGGUGAUCAACUUGCGAGUUCCGUAACCUCGUGAACUUAUGCAUAGGGGUUGGCACACGUUUUCGUCUUGACUCUCCGGUAGAAACUUUGGGGCACUCUUUGAAGUACUUUGUGUUGGUUUGAAUAGAUGAAUCUGAGAUUGUGUGAUGCAUAUCGUAUAAUCAUACCCACGGAUACUUGAGGUGACAUUGGAGUAUCUAGGUGACAUUAGGGUUUUGGUUGAUUUGUGUCUUAAGGUGUUAUUCUAGUAUGAACUCUAUGAUAGAUCGAACGGAAAGAAUAGCUUCAUGUUAUUUUACUACGGACUCUUGAAUAGAUCUAUCAGAAAGGAUAAUUUUGAGGUGGUUUCAUACCCUACCAUAAUCUCUUCGUUUGUUCCCCGCUAUUAGUGACUUUGGAGUGACUCUUUGUUGCAUGUUGAGGGAUAGUUAUAUGAUCCAAUUAUGUUAUUAUUGUUGAGAGAACUUGCACUAGUGAAAGUAUGAACCCUAGGCCUUGUUUACUAGCAUUGCAAUACCGUUUGUGCUCACUUUUAUCAUUAGUUACCAUGCUGUUUUUAUAUUUUCAGAUUACAUCUAUCAUCCAUAUUGCACUUGUAUCACCAUCUCUUCGCCGAACUAGUGCACCUAUACAAUUUACCAUUGUAUUGGGUGUGUUGGGGACACAAGAGACUCUUUGUUAUUUGGUUGCAGGGUUGUGUGAGAGAGACCAUCUUCAUCCUACGCCUCCCACGGAUUGAUAAACCUUAGGUCAUCCACUUGAGGGAAAUUUGCUACUGUCCUACAAACCUCUGCACUUGGAGGCCCAACAACGUCUACAAGAAGAAGGUUGCAUAGUAGACAUCAGGAAACAUUUCGAGUCAACACUCAAUCCUAAAGUAACUUAAAUUAGAUGACCUGUAGUCCUAGAGAGUUGAUACAAUGGCUAGCUUAGCAAAUUAAUCAUCUUUCCACCUUAUAGAAAGUAUAUACCGCAAAAUCUAAGGUUUUUUUUCUCUGAGUUAAACUAUUCCUGAAUACUCAAGGCUUCCUUAGCAACUGCCAGUUCUAUUUAUUCACAAGUAGUGCAAGAAAUAAAAUAUUCUAAGAGGCAACUGAAGGUUUCAGAUUAGCUAGCUUAUUCAGGACGGUUUACCUUAUCUUUGCAUGGCACGAAGUUGUGCUUGGUAGCUAUUAAGAUUCCUUGCUGACAAAUCAUGUUCAUCAGUAGCUGGAAUGUUUACAUUAUCACCCUGAUCAAUAUGCUCACUUAACUCAGACCAUAUCUUCUCAAUCUGUGAAUGAAUAUCGUAAUACUGCAUGAUCCUUUCUUCUAUCUUGCAUUUCAGUUCAUUGAGCACAUGAACGACAACAACAAGUUGUUCCUAGAGCAACACGUAGCUCUUGUCUUUUUGCGCAAGUGCUGAUAAAUUAACAAAAACAUCCUAGUAAAAAGAUUAAAGUAAGGUGGUAUUUCCUGGAGAUUUAGUACAAGUCGGUAGCUACUUUUGACCAAAAAAGCAAAUAGGCCGGCAUCGCCAAGCCCUAUUCCGUAAUAUAAGAGCGUUUUUGACACUACACUAGUAUAAUAAACGCUCUUAUAUUAUGGGACGGAGGGAGUAGCAAUCUACAACUUGAAUCAUGCAUGUUACCAACAACAGCCAGAUUCCAUCAUCUCGUGGGAGCCAAGCAACCACUCAGGAAGUCAAUAGACAACCAACCCAAUUAGUGAAUCAUCAUGAUGAUGAUUAGUAUGCAUACCUUGAUAUACAGCUUAUGCUCCCCUAGAGUUGCCACUAACAAUGCAACCUUAGCUUCUUUUAGUGGCCACAAACAGGUGCAGCUGAACCCUGGUCUGAUUGGCAUCGUCCACCUUCCUGCGGUACACCUCCAAGCAUUCUAUUUCUAUCUUUGACAUUCUGACAAGACCUUGCUCUUCUGAACCUCACUUUCCCCUACCUCUGGCCAGAUUCGCUGAGUGACAGAAACAAGAGGGCAUGAGUAAUCAACGAGGUUUCGUGUUUUACCUACACGUACACCAACAAUCUGGACAGAUGAGAGAGAUAGAGCUCACCUUGUUCUUUAGUCUUCGUCUUGUCUUCUUCAUUGGAUCUGCACACAUCUUAUUUAGAAAAAAUGUAAAUUGAGAAAUCGAAAUCAGAUUAUAAAAGAACCAUGCGGAAAUCAAGGGGCAAGAGUAGAGGAGAAAGAUAGAUGUGCAUCCAAGAUUGGGGAUGGGGCACGACGAUCGGAAAGCAACGGUAGGCAGUGAUGGCCGGCUCCAUUCCACCAUCAGCUGAGCGCUCCUUCCUAACAUCUCCCCUCCCCACUGUCGAUGUCAAAACCGGCGGAUCUCGAGUAGGGGGUCCCGAACUAUGCGUCUAAGGUCGAUGGUAACAGGAGAUGGGGGACAUGAUGUUUACCCAGGUUCGGGCCUUCUUGAUGGAGGUAAUACCCUACUUCCUGCUUAAUUGAUCUCGAUGAAUAUGAGGAUUACAAGAGUUGAUCUACCACGAGAUCGUAAUGGCUAAACCCUAGAAGUCUAGCCUGUAUGAUUAUGAUUGGUUCUACGGACUAAACCCUUCGGUUUAUAUAGACACUGGAGGGGCCUAGGGUUGUACAGAGUCGGUUUACAAAGGAAGGAAUCUACAUAUCCGAACGCUAAGCUUGCCAUCCACGCAAAGGAGAGUCCCAUUUGGACACGGGAAGAAGUCUUCUGUCUUGUAUCUUCGUAGCCCAUUAGUCCGGCCCAUGUCACAUAGUCCGGACGUCCGAGGACCCCUUAAUCCAGGACUCCCUCAGUAGCCCCCAAACCAGGCUUCAAUGACGAUGUAUCCGAUGCGCAGAUUGUCUUCGGCAUUGCAAGGCGGGUUCAUUCUCCGAUCACUUCAAAGUACCUGACUCGAAAAGCUGUACUCGGUCUGUGUUUUAAUCUCACACCCUUUGGCUUCCGUGCCUCCAUUGUUUCUGCUUCCACGUGUCGAGCGAAUACGAGAGGUUAAGGUACGUUUUGCACAUAACACCCUGGCCACAUAAGAAAGGCAUCUAUUUAAAGAGACUGGAUCUCAGAUCCCAUUCCACACCAAGCGGAAAAAUCCUUAGAGCCUGCUAGGAGAAACCAUUCCAACACGGCUAGCGUUCCCAGUUCUUCCUCCCGCCCCCACGGCUCCGAAAAAGGCGAUUGGGAAAGAUGUUCCGUUUCCCACGAUCAGCUGACUAAGCUUCAAACGCAGGGAUUUCUUCCCCCCGCGGAUCUAGUCCCUAUUCGGGCAGGAUUGACCUCCUUCGAUGGCAAAGCCUAGGCGGAAAAUUUCCCCAAUCCAACCAGGGGGGAACGAGUGUGCUUCGUUCCUUACUUGUUAAGAGGCGUCGGGUUUCCAAUCCACCCGUUCUUCCGAGGACUCCUGGAGUAUUACGGCCUCCAACUGCACAACCUCACACUGGCCUCAAUUCUUCAUAUCGCGGUUUUUUUGGCUCUUUGCGAGCUAUUCCUGGGCUGUGAGGCCCAUUUUGAGUUAUGGAGGAAGCUAUUCUGCCUCGUCCCUCGUCCCCAAAAGGGAUCCAUAUUCGAGGUGGGCGGCGCCGAAGUAUGGCGCAUAGCCGGGACCGGAUACCUGUCUGGCAGGCCGAAGAAGGCGUCCAAGGAGUGGCCCUCAGAAUGGUUCUACAUUGAGGACGUCGCUCUCCCCGACCCAGUCCGAAUGGGUCUUCCCGAAUUCUCCAGCGCUCCCUUGAAGAAACACCAAAGCUGGCGCCCUCGGAGCCUCGAGGAGGAGGAUAGUACGGAAGUCCAACAAUUGAUGGGCAAGAUAAGUAUACUCGCCCAGUCCGGACUCUCAAUAAUCGAGGUAAUGGCCACUUCCAUAGCGCGAGGUGUUCAGCCACUCCAACUCAGGGGCUCCCUAUGUGGCACUAUAACGGGGAAGAUGACGCCUCCCGCUGUGGACGAAAAGGUCCGGAUUCCCCUACCGCCCUGGCCACAAUAUUGGGUGACCUGUAUAAGGGGAGAAAGAGGAAUUCACUCGCCUUAAGUGCCAAGAGGGAUUCUCAAUGUAUAACCCCCCUAGCUGGGUGAGCCUUAAUCCCACAUCAUUACUCAAUCCCUUCCCCGAGUCAUGUUCAAUUGACAUUUACUCAUUUAUUCAUAACAGGAAUGGCAGAAGGUUACCGCGGGGAUCUAUAGCCCUGCUCCACAGCCGGAGGACCAUAACCGAGACCUUGAUCCUGGAUUCGAAGAGGAUUCGGACAUAUUUGUAGAGCUGGAGGAGGGAGUAUUCUACCAGGCGAGCUAUGACGGCACAGAAGUGGCCAUCAUGGCCGAUUAUCCCGGUCUCAUUCCUGCCUCGCAUGUAAGUAAUCAAGAGACAUCUCUUCUAAAAGAGCUUCCUCGUUACACCUCACCCACCGCACUGUCUCGUGCUCCAAAGGGGAGACGCUCGGCGCGCCAUGCUGCACCUGAGGUGACUCACAAGAGAGCGGCGCCUACGCCAGGCAGGCCUUCAAAGAGGAAGGCAAAUGAAAACACGGCCGAGCCUUCAUCACAGAGGUAUGGUAUUUUAAAUAUGCUCCCUGGCAGUCACAUCGAAUUGUGACAUUGUCCGUUGUGUCUUACCAGGAAGAGCGUCCGCCGGACUAUGUCCGGGGAUCCUGCCGGUCAUGCCUCCACCAGCCAGGUUCCAGACCCUGCCUUAAGGACAGAGGCUGACGCGGGAGUGACACCGGAUUGUCCUUCUGCACAGAAUUUGGAUGAUGUGUCCGUCACGAACUCUGAAGUGGAGAGCGCCAUGAAUCACCGGCGCCGGAGGGCCGCUCUUCGCAACCCGGAUUUUACAAAAGAGGCAUUCAAUGCCUUCAGCUCGGCUGAUGCAUAUAUUCGAGCUGCUCGGGAUGGGCUUACCAGAGCCACAAACCAGUAUUUGAAAGAUAUGCGGGUAAGUGCGCAUUGUACAGAUCUGGUGAUCAUAUACCAGUAGCCCCCGAGACUUGAAGCAGUUGAUACAACUGAUUUAAGGAUCAUUGUAUAACCAGGUACUCACGGAGAAGAACAACUUGCUGUCUCAAGAGCUGGAAAAGUGCCGGACCCAGCUAGCUGCGGCAACUGCCGAACUGGAGAAAUCCAAGGAGGCACCACCUGGUAAUGUUUCCCUCCAUCGAGAAAAAUGUGAUCAUAUACCAGUAAUAUUAAUACUGUUGUAUCUCUCAUUGUAGGAUCCUCAGAUCAACUGAAAGAGGAACUGAUCAUCGCGCAGGCGGGUGAACAAGAGGCCAAAAGGCAACUGGCCGCGGGCGAACAUGUGCUGAAACGGGUUAGGGAUGAUAAAAACAAGCUGCAGGAUUCCAACACCCUGCUGGGCGAAGAACUAAAAGAUGUGCGAGCCCAGCUAGCUGACGCCGUCAAGGAGAAUAGGAGGCCGCGAGGUGGCAUAUUCAGUAUGCUUUUGAACUUACCUUUAUGUAAUUCAGCGAAGAAAUGAGCUAACAGAUUUAUGUCUGCAGGUAUGCUGACUGGCCGCCCCGAAGAGGAAAUGUCCGGCUCUCAAGGCGACCUGCUGCAAGAGCUGUCCCAACUUCACGAGCGAGCUCGGCAAGCAAUGCGGAGUGUUGCCAAAGCUUUGUGGCCAUCCGCCUCUCCUCCAGGAAGUAUGGAGGAGCUGGUGAAGCUAUUCCAAGGAGCUCGGUGGCGCUUCCGAUUAUGGAAGAUAUCGGCCUGCCGAGAAGGUGCGCGAGAGGCGUGGGCCAUGAUAAAAACACGGUACACCAAGCUUGAUCCGAAUCCUAUGGCCCGGGUCGGGCCUCGGGGGUCAGAUGGAAACGAAAUUCCAGUUAGUCUGGUAUAUGACCAAGUAAAGAUAGCGGCCAAGUAUUCCUAACAGGAUUGUAAGCUAGAUAGCCUUUUAGAUGGCAUAGAGGAAGAAGUUUUUGAGUCCAAGUGACUAUGUACUUCAAUUGACAAAUUUGCCCCUAGCCGGAUUGUAAAACGAUUGUCAUGGCAGACCUUUUCGCUUCGACCUCUGGACCCAAAGGCGUGGAGUGUUUCCGAAUAUCGUAACGGUAAUGUAAACCGGGGUAUGCAUGGAAACCAGGCGUAGGGGUCAUAGUUGCUUGAACAGACAAGUUGUAUCCGGCUAGCUAUGUUAUAUUACAUGUUUGAUUGUAAGAAACAUCUUCCAGGGAGAAUAGUUCCGUUAAGGGUUCCUUUCCCUGGGUGAACAUGCGCUAGUAUGCAUGUCCGAACUGUGAUAAAAAAGUCACAGUAUACGUAACAUCCGGGGGCUCAUAGUGUAAUGAGUGUAAAACAUCUUUAGUCCGCUGACCAAAUAUUCCCUUAAGAAUGCUAGCUUUCGGCUUCACCCAGUCUGAGGUACUCGUCCGGAUGACCCGACUGUAACAAUCGUAGAGGUGCUCCCUUUAUGCCCUAGCCGAACAAAUGGGAACGUAGGGCAUAAGCACAGGAGCCAGGCAACCCAGCUUGGCAAAAACUUAAGUCAUAACGGUGCAUAUAAUGGCGAAGAAAAGGUACAUAUGAGAGAAAGGACACAUGUGUGGGGAGCUUGAUGCUCGCAAAAUAAUAAUAUUAAGCUUCUGUAAGAGAAGCCCCUAGGUAUUAUGAGCGUGUAUAUUUAAGGAUGUGUACGUCAUAGGUGUGCGGUUUAGCCGCACAAGAGCUUAAAGCUAGAAAAAAAGUUAAAGGGAGGAAAAGACGGACACAAAGGGAGAAGAAAACGAACAAAGAGUCCGGCUCUAGGCGUAGAAUCUUCGGAGUCUGGUGGCAUUCCACGAGUUCGGCUCUAGGCGAUUGUCCGAUGCAUCACGCAGGCGGUACGCUCCUCCAGUGAGAACUUCAUCUAUGAUGAAGGGACCCUCUAAUUUGGGCUUGAGUUUCUCCUUUUUCUUUUCUGGCAAGCGUAGAACGAGUUCACCAACAUUAUACGUUUUGGCCCGCACCUCUCUGCUUUGAUAUCUGCGAGCUUGUUGUUGAUAGAAUGCAGAACGGGCCUUUGUAACGUCACGCUCCUCCUCCAAGGCAUCUAAACUGUCCCGCCGAUCCAACUCGGCUUCUCUCUCUUCAUACAUGCGCACUCGAGGUGAGUCAUGAAUAAUGUUGCAGGGCAGAACGGCCUCUGCGCCGUACACCAUGAAGAAUGGUGUGUAUCCGGUAGUGCGAUUGGGCGUGGUCUGCAGUCCCCCAGAGUACGGAGUCGAGCUCCUCAACCCAGUGCUUGUCUGAUUCUUUCAACGACCGCACUAGUCUAGGUUUAAUGCCGCUCAUAAUAAGACCAUUAGCUCGUUUGACUUGACCGUUUGUUUGUGGGUGAUAGACCGAGGCGUAAUCGAGCUUAAUGCCCAAUUUAGCACAACAGGACUUCACUUCCUCGGCUGUGAAAUUGGAGCCGUUAUCGGUGAUGAUGCUGUGUAGGACACCAUAACAGUGCAUGACACCGGAUAUAAAGUCUAUCAGCGGUCCGGCUUCGGCCGUUUUCACUGGUUUGGCCUCUAUCCAUUUGGUGAAUUUAUCUACCAUGACUAGCAGAUAUUUUUUCUUAUCGCUUCCCCCUUUAAGGGGUCCGACCAUAUCAAGCCCCCAGACCGCAAAAGGCCAAGUAAUGGGGAUUGUUCGUAGAGCAGUAGGCGGCAUAUGGCUUUGAUUGGCGAAGAGCUGGCAUCCGACACAACGUUAGACCAGGUCCUGCGCAUCUGCUCGGGCCGUCGGCCAAAAGAAACCUGUAUGGAAGGCCUUACUUACAAGGGCCCGAGCUGCGGCGUGGUGACCGCCAAGACCAGCAUGGAUUUCGGCUAAGAGCUGCCGCCCCUCUUCUUCAGAGAUACAUCUUUGAAGGACUCCGGUGGUACUUUUCUUGUAGAGCUCUCCUUCGUGAACCUUGUAGGCUUUUGAGCGCCGAACAAUGCAGCGAGCCUCGUUCUGGUCCUCAGGGAGCUCUCGCCUAUUAAGGUAGGCCAAGAAGGGUUCGGUCCAUGGGGGCAAUUACUGCCAUUAUUAGAUGGGCCGAUGAUGUUAUUUCGGUGGCUGAGCCCUCGAUGAUAUCGGUAUUGUGUUCGGAAUCUGGGGGUAUAAUCGGAUCCGGAAUAGUUUUGCCACUCUCAUUCUGCCACACCACGGAUGGCUUGAAGAGCCUUUCCAAAAAGAUGUUAGGCGGGAUGGGGUCACGCUUGGCGCCCAUACGAGCAAGAACAUCGGCCGCUUGAUUGCUUUCCCGAGCCACAUGAUGAAACUCGAGUCCCUCGAACCGAGCUGAUAUUUUGAGUACGGCGUUACGAUAGGCCGCCAUCUUCGGAUCUUUGGCGUCGAAGUCCCCUUAUUUGGGAUAUUGCGAGAUUCGAAUCCCCGCGCACCUCCAGGCGUUGUAUGCCCAUGGAAGAAGCCAUCCGAAGACCGUGCAACAAGGCCUCGUAUUCGGCUGCAUUCUUGGAGUCUGUGUAUAUUAUUUGGAGUACGUACUGGACUAUGUCACUAGUAGGGGACAUUAAGACAAUGCCCGCUCCUAAGCCGACCAGCAUUUUAGAGCCAUCGAAGUGCAUGACCCAGUUGGAAUAUGUGCCGUAAUCUUUAGGGAGUUUGGCCUCUGUCCAUUCGACGACAAAGUCGGCCAAUACUUGGGAUUUAAUGGCUCGGCGCGGUUUGUUUGUUAUGUCGAAAGGGAGGAGCUCAAUGGCCCAUUUAGCAAUCCGGCCCGUAGCGUCGCGGUUGUUUAUUAUGUCAUUUAGUGGUACUUCGGAAGCCACCGUAAUAGAGCACUCUUGAAAGUAGUGCCGUAGCUUCCGGGAUGCCAUGAAGACCGCAUAUGCUAUCUUUUGGUAAUGGGGGUACCGGGAUUUGCAUGGUGUGAGGACAGUGGAUACGUAGUAUACCGGCUUCUGGAGUGGGAAUUUGUGUCCGUUCGCUUCUCGCUCAACGACGAGCACCGCGCUCACCACUUGGUGUGUUGCAGAGAUGUAUAAUAACAUUGGUUCACCGACUUUUGGCACGGCCAGAAUUGGGUUGCUCACUAAAAGAGCCUUUAUUUCCUCUAGUCCAGCCGUUGUCACAUCCGUCCACUUGAAGUGGUCGAUGCGUCGGAGAAGGCGAUAAAGUGGCAAUGCUGUUUCUCCUAAUCUGGAGAUAAAGCGGCUUAAAGCUGCCACGCAUCCGGCUAGUUUUUGGACCUGUUUAAGAUCCAUUGGUACAUCCAAUUGUGACAAAGCCCGGAUUUUGGCUGGAUUUGCCUCAAUUCCUCUAUUGGAAACGAUGAAGCCUAGCAGCUUUCCAGUGGGAACGCCGAGAACACACUUUUCCGGAUUGAGCUUGAUGUCAUAUGUGCGGAGGUUGUCGAAUGUGAGACGUAGGUCGUCUAUUAAUGACUCGACGUGCCUAGUCUUGAUGACCACGCCAUCCACGUAUGCUUCAACUGUCUUGCCGAUUUAUUUCUCCAGGCAUGUUUGAAUCAUGUGUUGGUAGGUGGCGCCGGCGUUUUUGAGCCCGAAGGGCAUAGUGUUGAAGAAGAAAGGCCUGUAUGGGGUAAUGAAUGCCAUUGCGGCUUGAUCGGACUCCUUCAUUUUGAUUUGAUGGUAUCUGGAGUAUGCGUCGAGGAAAUACAGUGAGUCGUGUCCUGCGGUAGCAUCGAUGAUUUGAUCGAUGCGGGGGAGGGGGAAGGGAUCCUUAGGGCAGGCCUUGUUGAGGUCUUUGAAAUCGACGCACAGGCGCCAGGAUUUAUCCUUCUUUGGCACCAUCACCAGGUUUGCUAGCCAGUCUGGGUGUUUUAUUUCUCUGAUGAAUCCGACCUCGAUUAACUUGGCUAGCUCCUCCCCCAUAGCUUGUCGUUUGGGUUCGGAAAAGCACCGCAGUGUUUGCUUGACCGGCUUAUAUCCCUUCAAUAUAUUGACGCUGUGUUCGGCCAGCCUGCGUGGGAUCCCUGGCAUAUCAGAAGGGUUCCAGGCGAAUAUGUCCCAGUUUUCACGUAGGAACGCUCGUAGUGCGGCGUCAACCAUUGGGUCCAGCUGCGCCCCGAUGGAAGCUGUCUUCUUGGGAUCUGUCGGGUGGACUUGAAAUUUGACUAUUUCGUCUACUGGUUUGAAAGAGGUGGAUUUGGGCUGCUUAUCAAGGAUGGCGUCGUCCCUAUCCACCGUGGAGUGUAGUGUGGUUAACUCUUCGGCCGCGAGGGCCUCGGACAGUGCCUCGAGGGCCAGGGAUGCGUUUUUGUUUCCGGCCCGGAGGGCUAUGUCCGGAUCACUGGCAAGAGUGAUAAUACCGUUGGGCCCGGGCAUCUUAGGCUUCAUAUACCCAUAAUGAGGUAUAGCUUGAAAGCGUGUGAAUGCGUCUCACCCCAAUAGGGCAUGGUAUCCAAUGUUAAAAGGGGCCACUUGAAAGGUUAUCUCUUCGGACCGAUAAUUCUCCGGCGUGCCGAAUACCACGUCGAGUGUGAUUUUCCCCGCGCAACGUGCUUCCCGGCUGGGAAUAAUCCCUCGGAAGGUCGUGUUGCUUUGCUCGAUGCGGCUGGCUAUUUCCAUUUUGUUGAGUGUAUCCUCGUAGAUGAGGUUUAGUCCACUGCCACCGUCCAUGAGCACUUCAGUAAGCCGAAAGCCAUCCACAAUUGGAUUGAAGACUAGGGCGGCUGGUGCCCGGACUGACCGGAAUUUUGGUUCGUCACUGGCAUUGAAAGUUAUGGCCGUGUCGUUCCAGGGGUUUAUUGCUGUGACUUGGCAGACUUCGGCGAGGUCGCGGAGUGCCCUCUUGCGCCGAUUGUUUGAAGCGAAAGUCUCGAAGGCCGUCAAUACUCUGAGGUCGUCGUCAUCCGGGGGACGUUGCUCUGAGGUGUUUUUGUCCGCUUUUGGCUACUUGCCGGAGUAUCCAACAUGCUCUAAGGCGGUGGGUUGGUUCGGUGUUCGGUGUCGUGUGUAUUUUGCAUGGCUUAUCGAGCCAUCCCUCCAGAAUGGUUCCGCGUCCCGUGAAGGGCUUAGUUUUCUUCAAUAUGGAGCCACGUGCCACACGAGGGUGCACCCUUUUCCCACGCCCGAGGGGUUAAGUGAAGACUGGUGGUUCCCAGCGAGCUAUCUGAGUUUUCCAGGCGCUCUCCAUUGCGCAGUACUUCUGUACUAUGGUCGCCAAGUCAGCGAAGUGUGAUACGCGACGGCGGUUUACGGUGUUGAGGAUUCCUUCGUCCGUGCAAUUAUUGCAGAAUACUGAAAUCGCGUCCUCGUCGCGGCAAUCUUUAAUCUUGUUUUUGACAAGGAGGAAUCUAGCCCAAAAGUGAUGGACUGUUUCCUGAGACUGCUGUCGAACGUGCAUGAGUUCGCACAUAUCCGGAGGACCGGAAUUACUUGGCGAAUAUUGCUCAUGGUGGGUGGGUGGCUUUAAAGACGAUCCCUGACCCAAUUUGGAGUCCAGAGUGUGAAAAGCUUCCGAGCUUAUUAGUUCGGGCUUCGGGACAUUAAAUGAUUUUCCAGGCUCAACGCCCGAUUUUAUGUUCGGAGGACUGGGAGUGUCGUCCCGCAGACAGGUAUCCGGCUCUUCGAGUUCGGAAAUCCGAACAUAGCUGGUCCUCAAUACCGGGGAAGAGUUGUUGUUUUGCUCCUCUACGACCGCUAUCUGAUGGGUGAUCGGCGGAGAUUUGAUUUCUCUCUGAUCGGGUUUAAGCCCAACCUGAUCAUAGUCUAUAGUGACCCCAAAGGCGGCGAUGCGAUCCAGGAGUUCGUUUAAAGACGACAACUCCGCCGGAUCCAUCUGUUUGGAGUAUUCGGCGCCAAUACGGAGACGAUUUUCGAUGACCUGAGAAGUCAACGUCGGCUUGAAGGCCGAACGGGCGAUCAUGGUAAAGUCGCCCAGCCGGAGAGUUUGGCCUAAGGUUAGGGCUCCUCCGGUGGUGAUACUGUCCUUGAUGACAAGGCGAGCCAUCAACCCUAUCUUCGACGUCACAAUGGAACUCUCAAUGAAAGCACCAAUGUCGGUGUCAAAACUGGUGGAUCUCGGGUAGGGGUCCCGAACUGUGCGUCUAAGGUCGAUGGUAACAGGAGACGGGGGACACGAUGUUACCCAGGAUCGGGCCGUCUUGAUGGAGGUAAUACCCUACUUCCUGCUUAAUUGAUCUUGAUGAAUAUGAGGAUUACAAGAGUUGAUCUACCACGAGAUCGUAAUGGCUAAACCCUAGAAGUCUAGCCUGUAUGAUUAUGAUUGGUUCUACGAACUAAACCCUCUGGUUUAUAUAGACACCGGAGGGGCCUAGGGUUGUACAGAGUCGGUUUACAAAGGAAGGAAUCUACAUAUCCGAAUGCUAAGCUUGCCAUCCACGCAAAGGAGAGUCCCAUCUGGACACCGGAAGAAGUCUUCUGUCUUGUAUCUUCGUAGCCUAUUAGUCCGGCCCAUGUCACAUAGUCCGGACGUCCGAGGACCCCUUAAUCCAGGACUCCCUCACCCACCCUCCCCUACUCCUCCACACCCACCAUGAUUCCUACGCCCGAUCCAGAAUCAUCGUGCAUCCAGAACGUGAGUAGGUGCCGCUUGCAGUUGCAGGGAAGAGAGAAAGAAGCAGAGAGAUGGUUCCUUCUAGCCGUUGUCCAGCGCUACCACACGAGCCGGUGGUGAGGCGGUGGCUGGCCGGCGUCACCCCUCCCUCCUCGAUCUCUCAUCCUCGCCAUCGUCGGCCAUCUCCUCCCCUACCACUGAACUCCUGCGCGGGGCAAGGAUGGGGGCUCCUCAAGGUGGCGGGAAGGACUUCGGGCGGGGCGGCUCUCACGCGAUUGAGAGAGUGGGGAUGGGGAGGCGGCGGCUACACGGGGAAGCAGGGGGAGUGGAGGGAGAAUAUCACAUGAUACCAUCAUUCAAGUGAUACCAUAAUACCAGUUUGAAAAAUUCAAUUUUAGAUGUGUCCAAAAAUUUCAAAAAUAUUUAUGAUUGUUCAUCACAUAUAUGUCUACAUCCCCUAAAAAAUUCAGAUCAAAAUGUGAAAUACACAAAGAGAAACAAAAAAGACAAAUCUAGAUGUGAAUAGUGUCGGUUUUGACACUAUUCAUCCUUUUGUCUUUAUUGACACUAUUCAUGUUGGAUUUCUCUUUUUUGUUUGUCUUUGAGUAUUUCGUAUUUUGAUCUGAAUUUUUAGGGGUUUUGGACACAUAUGUGAUGAACAUUCACAAUUUUUUUCAAAAUUUUUUGACACGUCUAAAAUUAAAAUUAUCAAACUGGUAUCAUUGUAGCACUUGAAUGAUGGUAUCAUGUGAUACUAGAUUAGGAUUGCACCUUGGCGCGAGGUGCCGGUCCCAACGUUUUGGUCAAGCGAUAAUGGCAAGUUUAAUUUGGGAUUUUAGUACUCAUUCGUUAUUUCAAAAAAAUGUUCACAAACUUGGAAGAUUUGCACACAACCACACUCCACUGAAGGCAAUGCACACAGCCACAGGAAAAUUUGCAGACCGACACCAGACAACAACCUUGGAAGAGAAAACUACAUGGCGGUUCUCGAUGGGAGGGGGAUCACCACGUCGUAGGUGGUGCGGCUUGCCGCGCGUUGCCUGCAAAUAGGCGGGCAAUCAUAUAUGAGAACUCCAACACAUGGAAGGGAAGAAAAGGAGGUCAUGUAAACAUUUGAAAGCUGCAUGGUGAGACAUUUCUUAGUAAAUAUUGUCUUUCAAAACAACCUGGUAAAAAAGCUAAGAUACGAGGGCAAUUUCUAUUUUUGUGAAGCUUCUCCUCUCAAAUGCAUAGGUAGAAAAAUAGAUCAACCUCAAUAUUUAAUAGAACUCAAUAGAACAACCAACAACUAAAUAUCUGCUUAUCAUAUAAUUACAAACUGGAAACUGGGAACAAACACAUCAUGCAAAAAUAUCUAGCACCUAAGAAAGGCACUUUGAUUUCACUGAAUUGCAACCACGAUAAGCACAGAGCCUCCUUUUUUCUAACUAGCCAUGUGAUUUGUUUAACCCUUAAAGUUAAGGGUUUUUUACAUCUGUGCCCCUGGUUACUUAGCUCUACUCAUUCAUCCCGCGCUCUUAACUUUUGCUCAAUUUUCCCCAUUCCCUUGCCAGAAACCCUCAUAACUGGGCACAAUGGACGUUGCCGUCGGGUCAAAGGCUUGACCGUUAACUCUGACUAGUGGGGCCAUGCUGGACUGUGUCAUCCGUUCGACCUGACAAGUGGGGCCACGUUGGGUGGUGUCGCUGUUCGACCGUUGGGCCGUGGUUUCGUUGGGCCCUCCGUUGCAUUAAACAUCUACGCACGCCGCCAGGACAGAAGCCUGCUAUGCAUGCACCCAGCAAACCCUGCCUGCAUGUGUCGAUCGAGCCUGCAUGCGCCGAUGCCACGAUCCCAUGAUGCGCCGACCGAGCCUGCAUGCGCCGAUGCGUCCGCCACGAUGCACUGACCGAGCAGCUUUUUGCACGCCAGCCGCCACGGAUGUAGCGACGGUCACUGCCGCUGGUUCCUCUCUUCUAGCUAGGUGGCUACAUAUAUGUGGCUUGUGUAAAAAAAGAGCCACUCCCUUGCUUCGUUGUACUCAUUCAUCCCUACUAACAAAGCUUGCUUGCAUGCACUAGGUGGUUACUAACAAGGGAACCCUACUAACAAGCCGAGCUCUCUAAGAAAAUAAUCAACAAAUAUGUAGUCCCAGUAUGUAGAUAGGGCCAACAAGCCCAUAGCACGAUCACAUAGUUAAAACUAGGAAGAACCUAAUAAUAGAAUAGAUAGAAAACUUAAUAAUAGAAUUUAAGAAAAGGGCCAACAAGCCCAAAGCAACUCCAACAUAGUUCAAUUACAACUUAACAUAACAUAGACUAAAAAAAGAUAGAGGGUUUAGAACCCUAGCCGUUGCCUUCUCCACCUCGCUCCUCCUCCGGGCGCCCUUUUCGCUGCUCCUUCGGGGCGUUGUCGAUGGGGUACGGAAGAGUGUGCAUGCGCGUCGCGGUGGGGAAGAUGUUGUUGUACUCCGUGAACCUGUUGUGGGUGGUGAAUGCGAUGAACUCGGAGCCACACCAAAACACCCGGCCGAGGAGGUAGAAGGCGUCGAAUGUGUUGGUGAAGUGGGCAAGGAGAGCAACCACCACCCAGUUUUGGAUGACCUCCUCGACGCGGAACAUCGUUGGAGAUCCCCUCGGGAGGUGGUGGUAGCCGGACACGAGGAGCAAUUCGACGGCCCAACCAGAGCUUGGUUUCCUUUUGGGCCCAAUAACAACAUUUUUUUUCACGGAGUCAGUGGUGGGCGAGCAGCCGAGCACAACCAAUAGGAUCGCCUCUCGCGGAUCGCCCCACGAUCCAACGAUGCGGAGCUGUCCUUGUGAUCCAACGGUGCGGAGCCUGCACACAGCCAGCCCACCUAGUUCCUUCUAGAAGGCCAGAUCUGAGGGCUGUUGCUUGGCGCGAGGGUAUGAUCGGACGGCUGACGUUGGGAGCUAGGGUUAGGUGAAAACCCCGCGGGGUUUAGAGGGGUUUUGAGAUGGUCAACGGGGUUUUGAAGGCUUUGACCGAGCAUAACUAAUUUAAAAAAAAAUCGAAAAAAUAUGAAACCUUCGCCGUUCGUCGUUUUAUAAGACAAACUAACGAGGAAAAAUACUAAACUUGGCUAUGGUCAUUUUGAUGAAGAAACCCUAGCUGGCAUGAUCGAGGUCAAAUGAGCACCAUUAAUUUAGAAAAAAUAAAAAAAAAUAAAACCUGCUCACAAUGUUGUCUUAUGUGACAUGUUACCAACCAAAAAUCAUAAACUUGCUCUAUGGUCAUUUUCAUGAGAAAACCUUCGCACAUAUGAGCUAUCAUGUAAAUGAUUUCAUAGAGUUCAAGGAGAGGAGGUGGUGUUACCUUCUGUUUUUGAAAAAUUCUAAAAAAAAAUCAAAAAAAUCACUAAAGCUUUAUUUUAAAGUGAAUAAGAAGGAUCUGAAGUUAGUUUUCCAUUUUCAUAUUUCAAAACAUGUUUUUAAUAGUUUUUAUAUUAAAGCAUAUGUUUUCAAAAGAAAAUGUAAAAAUAUGAUGAUUAAUUCAAAAAUAAUAAACUUGGCCUAUAGUUUUAUAUUAAUGUUGUCUUAUGUGACAUGUUACCAACCAAAAAUCAUAAACUUGUCCUAUGGUCAUUUUCAUGAGAAAACCUUCACACAUAUGAGCUCUCACUUACAAGAUUUCGUAGAUAUCUAAAUUUCUUUGACCUCCUCUAAAUCACCUCAAAUUUUGCGCACAUGAUCUCCUACACAAACAUAGAUAGUUGAUAAUACAUCUUCAUUAAAAUGUUGUUUCUUGCUCUGUUAUUGGAAUAUUUGAUAAAAGGGAACCCUUGAUAAAAUGAUGGAUUGCAGCAUAUUUGUCGCAUAUGUGUGAUCAUUGCAGCACCUGAACUUUCAAAACACUGAAACAAAUCAUAGCAGAUAAGUUUAAAAACACAAAAAUACCCAACAUAGAUAGCCACAUGCAUAUAAAAUUCAUCCAACACUACAGGAAACAGCUACUUUGCCGUCUGCCACGGCGGACGGCAAAGGCUCGAAAGGCGGACGGCAAAGACCUUUGCUGUCAGCCGCGGACGGCAAAAGGCUCCGGCAAAGAAGGCUACGGUAAACAGCUGCUUUGCCGUCUGCUUCCUGGCAGCGGACGGCAAAGGCUCUUUGCCGUCUGCGGCGGACGGCAAAGAGGGCGGACGGCAAUAAUUGCGCUGUCAGUCCGUUAAGUGGCUAACGGCAGACCUUUGCCGUCCGCCGCAGACGGCAAAAUUUCUCUGGUCUUUGCCGUCCGCCUUAUGAUGUCAUCUACACGUCACUAGAUGGCAGGUUCUUUGCCGUCUGCCACUGAUGGCAAAGUGCAGGUUCUUUGCCGUCUGCCACGGACGGCAAAGUCUUUGCCGUCUGCCACUGUAGGCAAACUGACCAAAUGGGUCAGCUCCCAGGAAGCACAGUUGGCUGCCACGUGGCUUCUUUGCCGUCCGCGGCAGACGGCAAAGAGCUCUUUGCCGUCGGUGGCAGAAGGCAAAGAGCUCUUUGCCGUCGGUGGCAGACGGCAAAGAGCCUGCAUAUUGUCUGUUUUUUCUGAUUUUUAUUAAAUCCCACAAUUUGCACAGAAAAUAUAUAAGUUUCAUAUCACAUAUCCAGCACAUAUCCAGCACAUAAGUUUCAUAUCACAUAUCACAUCAGUUUCAUCCAUACACAUUGUUCAUACAUAAGCAAGUUCCAUCCAUACACAUUGUUCCAUCCAUAUAUAUAUUAUAAUGCAAAGUUUCAUGAAGAUAGCAAGCUAGAUACAAUGCAAAGUUUCAUCAAAGGAAGAGCAAGCACUCCAUCAUAGCAAGCUAGCUUCCAUGAAGUGAAUGAAAUCUGCAAAAUGGUAAAUAAGAAAGUUAGAAAUAGGUGACUAGAACAAGAAGAAGACUAGAACAAGAAGUAUAUGUCAUAUAUGAGCUAACUUAGUUGAAAUGGAUCAUUUAUGAGCUAACUUAGUUGAAAUGGGUCGUUUAUGAGCUAACUAAGGUGAAGGGCAUCGUUUUUGAGAUAAGUAAGGUGAAAUGGGUCAUUUUGGAGCUAACCUAGGUGAAAUGGGUCAUUUUGGAGCUAACCUAGGUGAAAUGGGUCAUUUUAAAGCUAACGUAGGUAAAAUGGAUCAUUUAGGAGCUCAUCUACGUAAAAUGGGUCAUUUUAGAGCUAAUUUAGUUGAAAUGGAUCUUUCUGAGCUAACUUAGGUGAAAUGGAUCAUUUAAGAGCUAAUUUAGGUGAAAUGGAUCGUUUUUUAGCUCACUUAGGUGAAAUGGAUCGUUUAUGAGCUAAAUUAGUUGAAAUGGAUCGUUUAUGAGAUAACCUAGGUAAGAUGGGUCAUUUUGGAGUUAACCUAGGUGAAAUGGGCCAUUUUAAAGCUAACGUAGGUAAAAUGGAUCAUUUAGGAGCUAAUGUAGGUAAAAUGGGUCAUUUUUGAGCUAACUUGGAUGAACUGCAUCAUUUAUAAGCUAACCUAGGUAAAAUGGGUCAUUUUGGAGGAAAAUAAGCUAACUCUAGGUCAUUAUGGUAAGCAUAUUGGAGGAAAUAAAGCUAAGUCUAGGUCUUUAUGCAUUUGUUAAGCAAAACACUAGAGAAACUUACCGUGAUCAGGGAGGUGUAGGAGCGGGGUGGCUAGUGCCGUUACCUGGAGAAGGAUCGUGCGAUGCGUUUCUGGAGUUAAGCUGCACCAAAGAUCAUUUCCAAUGUCUCGUUAGCAUUACGACACUCAAAUGUUAAGACUACCAAGUAAUGUCCAUUCAAACUAAACUCACCGUGCUCCCAGGAGCAAUCACUGGCAUCGGCGGAGCGGGCUGACCGGACUUCUCGCACACAGACUGCACAUUUGGUUUUCAGAACAGAGUCAUACUAGUUAGUAAUGAGACUCAAAUGUUAAGACUAGCAAGUAAUCUGCAGAAGAAACUUACCACAAGGAGCUCGUACAUGGCCCUUGCCUGCAUGUCAUUCCGUGCCCUCUCCUCCUCCAUCAUCUUUCUCGUCCUCUCCUCCAUCUCCCGCUGCCUCUCCGCCGCCUCCGCCAGAAGUUUCUCCGUUCUAUCUCUCUCAGUCUGUAUAGCAGCCUGCAACACCACUCACAUGACCAUUUGUAAUCAUUGAUGGAAGCGCACACAAUGUAAUGGAGAAAGAUAACUGAGUACGUAUCACUAACCUUGAUGGCGAGUUGCACUGGCCGUUCACGAGGCCUUAUCUCAGGAGCGGAGCUCGAAUGGCGCGCCUUGAUCUCCGGGAGAGUGCUAGGACAACGGAUAAGUCCAUCUCCAAUGGCUAUGGAGCCAUGGGACCUCCCGCCACCAGAUAUCAUCACUAGCUCUGGAUCAAUGGGACCCUGGCUCAGGUUAAAGUCCUCCCCUUUCCUCGCCUUCCCCUCAUCUCUAUAUCUCAUGAGCUUGUUGUGGGAGGAGAUGUUGGUGAAGUUGUUUGCAUCAUCGAGGUCAGACUGAGAGAAAGCCUUGACUUUCUUGAAAGAGCCAGUGUGGGCCAUGGCAUACAGGUCGUACACCUCUGGCACCUUAUCCGCCUUAUUGUAGCGUGCCUGAAAGAGAGAAACAAUGAAAAUUAGUAAUUAAAGGGCUCAAGCUAGCAUGAUGAAUGAAUUGCAUGAAUCAUGAAGCAAACCACAUACCCAGUUGCGCCCGAACUGAUAUAAGUUGGAGCUGCCUUGAUGGUGUGGCACACCUUCCAUUUGGGCACGUUUGUCCUUGGCCUGGUUGUGGAGGGCUAGCCAUUCUUGUGAGCACCACUCAUCGACCAACACCUCCCAACAAUCCAUCCGAUCCGCACACCAUCUCGGAGGCGCCUAAGUUAGCAAAUAGAAACUUCAGCGCUACGGCUAAGAAUUACUAAAUGAAGGAACUUAAGUAGAAGGCCUUAAGAAUUACCUUCAUGUACUACUCCUUACUCAGGAACUUAUCGCGGCACGUCGGCUUGGUCUUCUUGAUACCACGCAAGGCAUAGUAGUCUCGAACAGCCUGCACCCGAGCCUCGUGCCGUAAGUUCUGGAGUAGGCGCUUGCAGACGUUCUGGAUAACAUUUGCGCUGUCCUCCUCGUAUCCCUCCUCACACCUGUAGAAUGUCUGCAAUCAAAUGAGACAAUAUUGAUUAGUACAAUUAAUAACUAGCUAGUUGAAGAUUUUGAAAUGUGUAAAGGAGAAAUUACCCAGAACGUCCUGAUCACCAUGUCUGCCCUCGUGUCGCACACGACACCGUCGAUAAUGACAUCCGGCGGGGCCGGGGCAGCCACGCAGUGCUCCCAGCUCAACCCAAGCUCUGGAAGCCGACCCUCACCAGGCAACGUGACAAACCCCGGGAAGUUUUGCCGGCAAAGAACUCCAAGGACGGAGUUGGGCCGGCGGACACUAUGAUGGUGGUCCCAACCCCUGCAGCAUGACAAGGCCAACGCAUUAGUUAUUUGAAGAAACGUGAAUGCAGAAGGUACAAAAAUAUUAAAUGCACUUACGUACCUCUCCUCAUCAGGGAAGAUCAACCACCUCUGCUCGCGGGUCGCCGGCACGGACGGGAGCCGUGUAGCACCACGCUGGUAGACGGUGCCACCCUCCUCCUCAAGAUCAGUCGGCUCCCCGCCAUCAUCAGCAUGGCCACUCGGCUCCUCGGGCUGAUCCGGCCAGGUACCCCAUCCGGACGUGUGCUCCUCCGGGGUCUCGUGGGCCGAACUCUCGUGGGCCGAAGGCCAGUCGACCCGAGGCUCGUGGGCCCAAGACCCGUGGACCGGAGGCUCGUGGACCGGAGUCCAUGUAGCCUCCUCCUCGGACGAGUCCACCCUAGCAGUCACGUGCUCGGGUGAAACAGCUGGGGGUGGCGGCGAGGAAGGCGCCCUAGCAGUCACCCUACCUCCUCUCCCGCGACCACGUGCCCUACCUCCUCUCUUCCUACCUCGUCCCCUGCUGGGCACCGCGGUCGACGAAGAAGGGCCCGGCGGUGUGGACAUACUGUCCAGCAACGCUCGGCGGAGAGGUACGUCUGGAAUCGAAGACCUCAGACCACGCGCCGAGGAAGAAGGGGCCUUGGCGCGCUCCCGACCAGCGCCCACCAUCUUUCAACACCUGCCAUGACAAACAGUAAACGAAAUUAGUACAACAUAAAAAAAAGACCGACAUGAAUAAUAAUAUGUGUAUCACUUAAGUGUAUCAUCAUCAAGUACAACAUUAAAAAAUUUAAUACUUGACACUACUAAUAAUCUCGAUCAGUAUCAUCAAUAAAUGCAUAAUCAUCAUCAUCACUAUAAUCAAUGACGGGCUCAUAGGGUUCAGUGGCAUCAACAUGUGCAAGGCCACCUUGACGUAAUCGGUCAAGCAAUGACAGGUCAUCUGCAGCAGUAACCUCUUCUUGUUCCGGCUCUUCUUGUUCCUCCUCUGGGGUGAUGUCGGAUUCACUAUCGCUGUCUACUUCAAUGUUUUGGGGUGAAGUAUAGCGGUUCUUGAAACGCUUUUUGGAAAGACGUGUCUCUUGGAAGAAUUCUCCUUCAUAUGUGUCUGGGUUAAUGUGAGGUUCAUAAUCCUCUUCCUUUGGGGGAGAUAGUCUAGCACGUGGCGGCACUUCAUAAACGACAUCCCAACCUUUUAGAUUUGGAUUAGUUUGGCAGGCCCACGGUAGAUAGAAUACUUGGGUCGCCUGUUGAGCCGUAAUAUAGACAUCAGGAACAUCUAAAUGGGUGCUUUGGUUGAUUUCAACUAGCCCUAUAUGUUCAUGAGUCCUUCUAGUCUCCUUUGGCUGAAACCAAUAACAUUUGAAGACUACGACAUUCGGUGGGUUUUCACCAUAGAAUAGAAGUUCAUAAAUUGCUUCAACUCUCCCAUAAUACUCGGUACCUCCUUCGUCGAUAGCAGAUACACAACAAUUUGUAGACUUUCGGUCGGCCAUAGAUAGCUCUUUGCCAUAGGUACGAAAGCGAUACCCGUUGAUGUCGUAUUUGUCAAAUGAACGGACCUUAUAGUCAAAACCAUUAGCGACUUGUCUCAAUUCGGCGUCCAUAGACUCUGAAUUAGCCUACAAGUUUAAUAUGAAAGGAUUGUUGCAUUACGCACAAAUUAGCAAAUGAAACCGGGAUAGCCGCCUACAAAUUAGCCUACAAGUCUAAUAGAAAUUACCGUUUGUUUGAACCAAGAGAUGAAACCGGGAUAGCCGCCUCCUUGCUUUGCGAGAAGCUCAUACUCUUCGACAGAAUCCUUUUGGAUCACCGCUCCAUACGAGAAUAAGGCGACGUAUCGACUGUAUGAAAUAUCCAGGAAUAAGAGCAGUUCAAAGGAAAUAGAAGUUGCGAAACUAUGUACCGAGAACUUACUCGAUGUACGGCCGCACUUCUAUCAGGUUGUUGAACAUAUACAACGAAAUGGUCCGCCAUUGUUCGUUAUCCAAAGAUACUGGAUUUGAAACACUGGCUGGUGCGAGAUUCCCUUUGAAUAGGCUGAGGCUGGAUCCACCCUUUUUAGGGUCGUCAGCAUUGUACCGAGGCUUCGGAUUAUGCAAAUGACGAUUUUUGGCUUCGUAGUGUGCUGUCACGAAGUUUGCCGCCUCCUCAGUGAUGAAUGCCUCAGCCAUCGAUGCUUCAAUUCUACGUUUAUUUUUACAUUUUUGUCGAAGCGUCUUCUGCAUCCUCUCAGUUGGGUAGCACCAACGAUUUUGCACGGGCCCCCCCAAUCUUGCCUCGGUCGGGAGAUGCAAAAUCAAAUGUUGCAUUGGAUUAAAGAAGCCCGGUGGAAAGAUCUUCUCUAACUUGCAGAUCAACUCCGGCGCCAACUCUUCCAUUUCUUCUAGCACGCCAGGCGAUAGUUCUUUCGCACAAAGAACACGGAAGAAAUAGCUGAGUUCUACCAGUACUAGCCAUUCAUCCUUAGGGAUGAAGCCACGCAACAUCACCGGCAUUACCCGCUCAAUCCAUAUGUGCCAAUCAUGACUCUUGAGACCAAAUAUCUUCAAUUUAUCAAGACUGGCUCCCCUCUGUAGAUUCGCUGCAUACCCAUCGGGGAACAUCAACUGCAUUUUCACCCACAAGAUAAUUUCCCUCAUAGCUGGCCUUCCAAGAUUGAACCAUGCCUUUGGCUUCGUCCAGUUCUGCUUUCCUUUCGGUUCUUUCAUGUUUUGUAACGGCCUAUCACAUAGCGCCUCCAGAUCGACUCUAGCCUUAGUAUUAUCCUUUGACUUCCCAUCUAUGCCGAACAAUGUACCAAAAAGUGCCUCGGCGAUAUUCUUCUCAGUGUGCAUCACGUCGAUGUUGUGUGGGCAAAGGAGGUCUUUGAAGUAAGGCAGAUCCCAUAAGCAUGUUUUGUGAGUCCAGGCGUGCUUAGAAUUAUACCCCUUGAAGUACCCUGGACGCUCUGGAUCUGGCUCGAGAGCGUUUAACUGAUCCAGGGUCUGUUGGCCUGUCAAUGCAUGUGGUGCAGAGUUUUUGACAACUCUACCUCUGAUGAAGUUCUUCUUGUCAUUCCUGAACUUAUGGCGAGGAUUCAGGAACUGUCUAUGCAUGUCGAAGCAAGAAAACUUGCGACCGGCCUGAAGCCAACGAAACUCAAGAGCUCCCUUGCAUGUGGGGCACGGGAACCUUCCAUGCACACACCAGCCAACGAAUAGCGCAUACGCCGGCAAGUCAUGCGUCGAGUACAUGUACCAGACACGCAUUAUGAAGUUCCGUUUGCUAUAGGCAUUGUAUGUCUUGAACCCAUUAUCCCAGGCUUCUUGCAAUUCGUCCUUAAGCGGUUGCAUGUACACAUUCAUAUUUUUCCCCGGAUAGUUGGGCCCUGGAAUUAUCAACGUCAGGAAAAUGUUCUUUCUUUGCAUAAUCUGUCCGGGGGGGAGAUUGAGUGGAAAGACAAAUACGGGCCAACAACUGUAUUGGGCUGCCGUCAUACCAAACACACUGAACCCAUCCGUGCUGAUGCCAACUCGAGGAUGCCUCGGAUCUGCCGCUUUGUCACCAUGUAAUUCAUCAAACUUUUUCCACGCAACACCAUCCGAUGUGUGUACAAUCAUCAGAUUCCCAUCUGCAUCUAGUUCGGUUCUUUUGCCCGUUUUGUGCCAUGUCAUCUGUCUGGCCAUCUCUUCGACCAUGAAAAGACGUUGAAGUCUUGGUACGAUUGGCAUAUACCGAAGAACACUAACGGGGAUUUUGGUCUGUGUCUUCUCACCCAUACCGUUGUCUACCACAACAUACCUGGAAGACUUGCAAAUGGGACAAUAGUUCAAGUCCGCAUAGUCAAGCCUAAACAAGACACAUCCUUUCUCACAGGCAUGUAUCUUAUCAUAGGGCAUCUUCAGUGCACGGAGGAUUUUGUCUGACUGGUACAGGUUUGCAGGCAUUACAUGGCCUUUGGGUAGAAAGCGUCCAAAUACUGUCAUCAUUGCAUCGUAGCAUUCUCUGCCCAAGUUGAACUGAGCCUUCAGAGCCAUUACUUGUGAGAUGGCAUCCAACUGACAAAGCUCAGUGUGCUCAUGGAGCGGACGUUUUGAAGACUCCAACAUUUCAUUGAAGGCCUUUGCAGAUUCCUCCAUCUCCUCGUCCGAAUCCCGAGCAUCAUCAAAGUCUUGCACCAUGUUUUCCAUCCCGGUACCAUGCUCGUCGGUGCGACGACGAUCCACCUUAGCUCGGUCACGUUGGGCAGACUCACCAUGAAAUGUCCACACCGUAUAAUCGGGCGUAAAACCACUCUUCUGCAGGUGUUUGCCCAUUUCAGCCUCUGUCCUCUUUUCCCAAUUGCUGCACCGUAAACAGGGGCACCAGGUUUUCCUCUGGCCAUUUGCAAAUGCGGCUCGCACAAACCCAUUGGUUUUUGUGAACCAUUCAGUGCUCCAUUUGUUCUGACCAGUGUGACCGGUGUACAUCCACGCACGAUCACUCAUCUUGACUUUCAGAGCUACUAGACACACAACAAAUAUAUAUAUAUAUAUAUAUAUAUAUAUAUAUAUAAUUCACCAUGUAUGUAUUCAUCAGUUGAUCUACUUUGUCAAUUUUAUUACGUCCAUGCAACCUACACUCUAAUAGGUAAUGAUAGGUCCUAAUCCCACCCGAGUAUGUUUAGAUUGGGUUCAUUUUCCCAUGCUAUGCCCCGGAUCCUACGCAAAAUUUCGGCAGCACCUCCCCGCUGUUCUCUUGAUACACGUCUCUGCAAUAAACAGAGAGGAUGUGUACCCGGAGAACAACAGGGGAGGCACUGACGAAAUUUAUGCGUCGGAUCCGGAGCAAAGCAUAUGGGAAAACGAACCCAAUCUAAACAUACUCGGGCUGUCCAUGGAUAGCGUUGGACAAUUCGAAAGAAUCAAGGUUAUAAAUAUGCAAAUGCAUGCAUAUUUAUAACUAUGACGCUUUCGAACGGGACACAUAUUGGUUACGCAUACUGAUGAUUCAAGACACAUAUAUAUCUAGCUAUCAAGUUUCAUCGGAAUAGAUCAAAUAAUUAAUGGGGGAGGAGGACAUGUCAUUUGUGCUCAACCACGAACGAAGGGGCAGAGCUCGUCAAACGCACGGCGAGGUCGUCGAACACCAAACCUCGCAGCGAUGAAACAACUGCACAUUUAAAACUACCCGAUCAACACAAUUAUAUAUGAUAUUUUUCAUAACAAAAUCGAAAGAUAUAUGACCUAACUAAUAAUUCACAAAUAUAUGACCCCGUCAGCUUCUGGAAGGCCAAAGAACACCUUUUCGGGAGGUGUCNNNNNNNNNNNNNNNNNNNNNNNNNNNNNNNNNNNNNNNNNNNNNNNNNNNNNNNNNNNNNNNNNNNNNNNNNNNNNNNNNNNNNNNNNNNNNNNNNNNNNNNNNNNNNNNNNNNNNNNNNNNNNNNNNNNNNNNNNNNNNNNNNNNNNNNNNNNNNNNNNNNNNNNNNNNNNNNNNNNNNNNNNNNNNNNNNNNNNNNNNNNNNNNNNNNNNNNNNNNNNNNNNNNNNNNNNNNNNNNNNNNNNNNNNNNNNNNNNNNNNNNNNNNNNNNNNNNNNNNNNNNNNNNNNNNNNNNNNNNNNNNNNNNNNNNNNNNNNNNNNNNNNNNNNNNNNNNNNNNNNNNNNNNNNNNNNNNNNNNNNNNNNNNNNNNNNNNNNNNNNNNNNNNNNNNNNNNNNNNNNNNNNNNNNNNNNNNNNNNNNNNNNNNNNNNNNNNNNNNNNNNNNNNNNNNNNNNNNNNNNNNNNNNNNNNNNNNNNNNNNNNNNNNNNNNNNNNNNNNNNNNNNNNNNNNNNNNNNNNNNNNNNNNNNNNNNNNNNNNNNNNNNNNNNNNNNNNNNNNNNNNNNNNNNNNNNNNNNNNNNNNNNNNNNNNNNNNNNNNNNNNNNNNNNNNNNNNNNNNNNNNNNNNNNNNNNNNNNNNNNNNNNNNNNNNNNNNNNNNNNNNNNNNNNNNNNNNNNNNNNNNNNNNNNNNNNNNNNNNNNNNNNNNNNNNNNNNNNNNNNNNNNNNNNNNNNNNNNNNNNNNNNNNNNNNNNNNNNNNNNNNNNNNNNNNNNNNNNNNNNNNNNNNNNNNNNNNNNNNNNNNNNNNNNNNNNNNNNNNNNNNNNNNNNNNNNNNNNNNNNNNNNNNNNNNNNNNNNNNNNNNNNNNNNNNNNNNNNNNNNNNNNNNNNNNNNNNNNNNNNNNNNNNNNNNNNNNNNNNNNNNNNNNNNNNNNNNNNNNNNNNNNNNNNNNNNNNNNNNNNNNNNNNNNNNNNNNNNNNNNNNNNNNNNNNNNNNNNNNNNNNNNNNNNNNNNNNNNNNNNNNNNNNNNNNNNNNNNNNNNNNNNNNNNNNNNNNNNNNNNNNNNNNNNNNNNNNNNNNNNNNNNNNNNNNNNNNNNNNNNNNNNNNNNNNNNNNNNNNNNNNNNNNNNNNNNNNNNNNNNNNNNNNNNNNNNNNNNNNNNNNNNNNNNNNNNNNNNNNNNNNNNNNNNNNNNNNNNNNNNNNNNNNNNNNNNNNNNNNNGAAGGGCGAGGCGACGACGAAGUGAGUAACGGGCGGGGGGUACCUGCCGUUAGGCAAGUGCCCUCUUUGCCGUCCGCCAGCCUUUGCCGUCCGCCUUUCUGCGUCUUUGCCAUCCGCUAGCGGACGGCAAAGAGGUGGGCCGUUAGGAUUUUUUCAAACGAUCGGGGGGUGGGGGCCACCACACUCUUUGCCGUCUGCCAGCGGACGGCAAAGACGGGAAAGAGCUGGCAGAUGGCAAAGAGCUUCUUUGCCGUCAGCCUUUUCUUUGCCAUCUGCUUAUGUUUAGCUGAUGGCAAAGAGCUUCUUUGCCGUCAGCUAGCAGACGGCAAAGAGCUGGCAGAUGGCAAAUUAGCUGAUUCCAGUAGUGCAACCACCAAAAGGUAAUCCACAUCCUGUUCACAAACAUAGUUCACCCACAUAGUUCAGCAAACAACCUAAAGUACUUAAAACACAUCAUAGCAUCAUAACAUCAGGGAAGGGGGAGAGACAUGACUUUGGCUAGGGCAGCAUGCUGCCCCAUGAUCUUGUAGUCCUCGCCGUGGAUGGCCACAUCUUCUGCAUGAGCUAGAAGGUGAACGAAGCGGCCGGACUUUGGCUUUGGCUUGGUGGUGCAGUAGGGGCAGCGCCAAGUUUUGGUCUUGCUCUUGUAGUAGUAAUCCACGCCCUUGAUCCCGAUCUUCUCCUCUUCCUGCUCUUUGAAGGAGGCGAAGUUGCUGCGGUCCACAUCCACAUCUUCCCCAGAGACAUACUGCACACACCAAUGAAUUACAUUAGUACAUUAUAGAUUCAUGGGAAUACACCAUGUCAAACGAACUAAAUGAACAAUCUAAAUUUCAAGUAGGCUUACCUCAUACUCUUCGUCGUCAUCAUACGCUGGAUCAUACGGGUCGUCGAAAGUAUAGUCUAUCUUCCUCCUCUUCCCCCUACCAUCAUCCUCCUGAAUAUCCAAUUACAUCCAUCACUAGUAAAUACAUAAGCCAAUUGAAAAUUUAGAUAUGCACAGAUGACACACUGAUCAUAGGGCUAAUAUACUAUGAUCCUAUUUGCAUUUUCCAUUGUCAUGCACACACAUUGAACAAAAGAGCUAAUAUAACUACUUAUUGAAAUUUAGAUAUGCACACUUGAUCAUAGGGCUAAUAUAGUAUGAUCCUAUUUGCAUUUUCCAUUGUCAUGCACACACAUUGAACAACAGAGCUAUAUAACUACAUAUUGUGGACAUAUUGUGAACAACAGAGCUAAUAUAACUUGAAACAAAUAACUUGAGUAGCAUUAAAAACCCCAAUCUGUGAGCACUAAAAACAAAUCUAAUAAGCAUCAUAGCAUUAAAAUCACCAAUCUGUUCACAACAUCUAGCAUUUUUGCAACAAAGUUAUCCAAAUCUAAAAACAAAUAUGAAUACCCCAAUCAUUGCAGCACCUAAAAUCAUAGUUCACAACACCUAGCUAGCAUUUUUGCAACCAAUUUAUCCAACAAACCGUGACGCCCGGAUAAUUAAGCUAUAGUAAUUCCUUGUUAAUGAUGGCACGUCACCACAAUUACUAUUGUUGAUCUCGUGUUAGUUCGAAACCAAUUCAAAUUCAAAUUUGAAUUAAAGGCAAACAUCAAAGUUUUCAAACAUUAAAAAUAAAAUGUUCCGGUUGUGCCAAAUAAUGCAUAGGUAAUCAUGGUGGAGAAACCACACUUUUAUAGGAUGCUUAAAUACUCUAAGAUGAAUUAAACAGUAGCGAGAACUAUUAUUUACAUACUUUUAAAUAAUAAUUAAUUAUGAAACUAUUUUACUUUGGGUAGCGAAAUAAAUGUGGCAGUGGCAUAAUUGGUGACAUCAAUUUAGGUGCCACUUUGUAUAUUGUUAACACUAGAAUAAACAGCAACUAAAAGAAACAGAAAAGAAAUAAAGUAAAUAAAAGAGAAAAGAAAACAAAAUUGAACAGAAGACCCCCCUUUUUGCUGGGCCUCGGCCCAGCCGACCACCCCGCUCCCCUGGCCUACUAAGGCCCCGCUAACCCCCCGACCGUAACCUAAUCCCACCCCCACGAUCCCCACUCCUCACACGCCUCUCCUCCUUGCCCGUUCUGGAUCUGGGCGGAGCGCCUGACCCCGACGUCCCUCGUCCCACCGCGGCCACCAUGCGCCCCGCCACCUAGGAGCUCGUUGCACGCCUUGUCGUCGACCACUUCCUCGCCCCCGACCACGCGUAGNNNNNNNNNNNNNNNNNNNNNNNNNNNNNNNNNNNNNNNNNNNNNNNNNNNNNNNNNNNNNNNNNNNNNNNNNNNNNNNNNNNNNNNNNNNNNNNNNNNNNNNNNNNNNNNNNNNNNNNNNNNNNNNNNNNNNNNNNNNNNNNNNNNNNNNNNNNNNNNNNNNNNNNNNNNNNNNNNNNNNNNNNNNNNNNNNNNNNNNNNNNNNNNNNNNNNNNNNNNNNNNNNNNNNNNNNNNNNNNNNNNNNNNNNNNNNNNNNNNNNNNNNNNNNNNNNNNNNNNNNNNNNNNNNNNNNNNNNNNNNNNNNNNNNNNNNNNNNNNNNNNNNNNNNNNNNNNNNNNNNNNNNNNNGCGUAGGAGCCAGGACGCCCCCACGCCCCCACCCCGUGCUAGGCUUCCUGCUCGGGCCGCCGCACGCCGCUACCGACUCCGGCCACCCCGAGCCUCCCUCGAGCCUGCUGCCAUGCCCUACGGCUCCACUGUGAGCUCCGCCGCCAAAUCCCUCUCUCCCCCGUGCUCGAUUCUGCUGCCUAGCUAUCAUCCCGUUGAGCAGCGAGCUCCGACCGCCGCCAUGGUCGACGAGCACCACGCUCCCGAACCCCCCUGCUCAUACAUGCUACGCCAACACGUUCAUGGAGCUCCGUAGAGGCCGCCUGUGCCGUUUGUUCGGUCAACUUCCUCGCGUAGCCCGCUUCUGCUGAGCUCCCGCUCCGGCCGUCGCCUCAGUGCAUCGCCGUCGCCGUUCCCGACCAUCUCCGGUCGAGGUAGAGCCCCCGUUCGACGCGCACUGCUGCGUGCGUUCGAACGCAUCUGGCUGCAUCCAAAAUGGUGCCCGAUACGCAUUUUCCGACGCGCUCCGGCGUGUCGCCGCAGUCGGUUUGGUCACCGGCGCGCCGGCCGUUCGACGCCCCGUGGGCCACCGACAAGUGGACCCUGCUUAGAUUAAUCACUAACCCCCCACUAACGUGUGGGCCCUUGCCUCUAAUUAGGUUAGUUAAAAAUAAUAAACACUGUUAUUAGAGUAGUCACUGAAAACCUGGCCCACAUACUAAUUUGUUUAAUUUAUUAAUUUAGAACAUGUUAUUAUAAACAGUCACUGACUACUGGGUCCCACUGGACCCAGUUGGCUAGUUAACUCUGCUGACUGGGCACUCCCAGUCAGUGACAGGUGGGACCCCCUAGGCCCCUUUGACUUCGUUGACCAGUCAACUGGUCAACAGUUGACUGGCUAACUCAGCCCCUGGCCCCACAUGGUAGUCUUAGUAGCACAUGUGUGGGUACACUUCUGUGUACCCGUAGUAAUUAUACUUUUAUUUUUGAUUUAAAUUAAAUUCAGAAAAUGUAUAAAAUUUGAAAAUUAAUAUAAAUAAUCCGUAACUCGGAUGAAAAUACUUUGCACAUGAAAGUUGCUCAGAACGACGAGACGAAUCCGGAUCCGCAGCCCAUUCGUCGGCCACACAUCGUUAGCAUAGCAAACACGCAACUUUCCCACUCCGGUUCAUCUGUCCGAAAACGGGAAACACCGGGAAUACUUACCCGGAUGUUUCCCCCCUUCGCUGGUAUCACCUACUACCGCGUUAGGGCACACCUAGCACCGUUCAUUGUCAUGUCAUGCAUUGUCAUGCAUAUGUUUGCAUUAUAUUUAUUGUUUCUCCCGCUCUUCCCUCGCUAGACAUCGAGGCCGACACUGCUGCUAUCCAGUACGACUACAGUGUUGACGACCCCUCCUUCGUGCCAGAGCAACCAGGAAGCCCCCCCCUUGAUCACCAGAUAUCGCCUAUUCCUUCUCUCUACUGCUUGCAUUAGAGUAGUGUAGCAUGUUACUGCUUUCGGUUAAUCCUAUUCUGCUGCAUAGCCUGACAAUGUUGCUACAGUUGUUACCCUUACCUGCAAUCCUAAAUGCUUAGUAUAGGAUGCUAGUAUUCCAUUAGUGGCCCUACAUUCUUGUCCGUCUGCCAUGCUAUACUAUCGGGCCGUGAUCACUCGGGAGGUGAUCGCGGGUAUAUACUUGCAUACAUAUUAUACAUGAUACAUGUGGUGACUAAAGUCGGGUCGGCUCGUAGAGUACCCGCAAGUGGUUUGGAUGAGGGGGCUGAAAGGACAGGUGGUUCCAUCCCGGUAGAGGUGGGCCUUGGUUCCCAACGGCUCCCGUCUGUUACUUUGUGGCAGAGCGACAUGGCAGGUUCAGACCACCUAUGUGAGAGGUGGGCCUGGCCCUGGUCGGCGUCCGCGGUUACUUCAAAAUAACACGCUUAACGAGAUCUUGGUAUUUGAUCUGAGUCUGGCCACUGGCCUAUACGCACUAACCAACUACGCGGGAACAGUUAUGGGCACUCGACGUCGUGGCAUCAGCCGAAGCCUUCUUGACAUCAGCGACUGAGCGCCGCGCGCCGGGUUGGACUGGAACGCCUGCUCUUGUAUUAGGGAGGCUAGGUCUGCUUCUGGCCGCGUUUGCAACGUGCAGGUGUGCAAUGGGCGAUGGGCCCAGAUCCCUGCGCCAUAGGAUUUAGACCGACGUGCUGACCUCUCUGUUGUGCCUAGGUAGGGCUGUGACGUGUUGAUCUUCCGAGGCCGGGCAUGACCCAGGAAAGUGUGUCCGGCCAAAGGGGAUCGAGCGUGUCGGGUAAUGUGGUGCACCCCUGUAGGGAAGUUUGUCUAUUCGAAUAGCCGCGAUCUUCAGUAACAGGACGACUUGGAGUUGUACCUUGGCCUUAUGACAAUUAGAACCGGAUACUUAAUAAAACACACCCUUCCAAGUGCCAGAUAUAACCCAGUGAUCGCUCUCACACAGGGCGAUGAGGAGAGGAUCGCCGGGUAGGAUUAUGCUAUGCGAUGAUACUUGGUGAACUUACCAUCUAAUCUCUUCUACAUGCUGCAAGAUGGAGGUUGCCAGAAGCGUAGUCUUCGACAUGACUAGCUAUCCCCCUCUUAUUCUCGCAUUCUGCAGUUCAGUCCACCGAUAUUGCCCCUUUACAUAGAUACCCAUGCAUAUGUAGUGUAGAUCCUUGCUUGCGAGUACUUUGGAUGAGUACUCACGGUUGCUUUCCUCCCCUUUUUUCCCUUCCUUUCUUCCUGGUUGUCGCAACCAGAUGGUGGAGCCCAGGAGCCAGACGCCACUGUCGACGACGACUCCUACGACACCGGAGGUGCCUACUACUACGUGCAGGCCGCUGACGACGACCAGGAGUAGUUUAGGAGGAUCCCAGGCAGGAGGCCUGCGCCUCUUUCGAUCUGUAUCCCAAUUUGUGCUAGCCUUCUUAAGGCAAACUUGUUUAACUUAUGUCUAUACUCAGAUAUUGUUGUUUCCGCUAACUCGUCUAUGAUCGAGCAAUUGUAUUCGAUCCCUCGAGGCCCCUGGCUUGUAUUAUGAUGCUUGUAUGACUUAUUUUAUUUUUAGAGUUGUGUUGUGAUAUCUUCCCGUGAGUCCCUGAUCUUGAUCGUACACGUUUGCGUGUAUGAUUAGUGUACGAUUGAAUCGGGGGCGUCACAAGUUGGUAUCAGAGCCGACUGCCUGUAGGAAUCGCCCUUCCACACUCAUUGGCCGAAGUUGAGUCUAGACAUUGAAAAACUUUUACUAACAUGGCUAUGCGACUUGCGGGCCCACGUCGCCAUUGGGUGGUAUUAGGAUCUUUUACUCCUCGUCUAUACUCUGGGACUCUGAUCUCUCUUCUAUUCGGGUUAAAUGAUUUUACUAACGCCGACUCUAGGUCCUCGUAACUACUUCCACCCGGAGAGCCCCUAAAUACAAAUGAUCGCCUGCUGCACUAGAAGAUUCCGAAAAUACUCUACGAUGUUCUCUCGAGACUUUGCGCCAUCACUUUUGCUAUUCCCGACCACCGAUUAAUCCUUAUGGAUAUCUGCUUACACUUGUCGUUCAUACCUUCGUUCCCAGAUGCCCCUGUUAUUACUUGAUACCCUGAAAAAUUCUCCGAUAUUUCGAGAAUCCUUUGUGCCCACCGCUUUGCAGCUCUUUUCCGCAUUAAUACCCCUACGGAUAAUUCCUCGCACAUAGAAGUAUCCGCCCAUCACUAAGUUGUUCAUGUGUUUCACAAGGAUCUUCAAAAAUACUAUUUGAUCUCCCGAAAAUCCUAAAGCAGCUUAUUGCUCUUGAAAUACUUGCUUGCUUGCAUUAUGGUUAAUCCCAUAAGUAUAGUAAUCUUAUUGGCAUCGUUUGUCACUAUCAUUUUGAGUCCAUUGAUACAAUAUGUUGCGAAUGCUCGCAAUCCUUAAACAGAUCCUAGAAUUCAUCCUUCUGGCUCAGACGUCAUUUUAACAUGUGCUUGAUUUCGACCAAUCAUAUCGCCAUCGAUUGUACCCCUAAGGCUAUUCUAACUAUCCAUCCCUAAUCAGAGCAGUGCUUCUGAUCCCUUGUCUUGGAAUUCAUAAUUCCUUUGCAAUUGAGCUUUGAGUUAGUCAGUUGUUUCUAUAAUCUGACCUCCUUGCAUUCUUUCUUCCUCUGGUUGAGUACCGAUGCUCAUAUCAGAUCCCUUGUGGACCACCAGACCCUUUUGUCAGAUUUUAUCCGACAACGUCCUUCAUAUUCAAUAAGCUUGUGAGCCAUUCCUCGAAUACAUAAUGCCUAUGGUAAAUUGUAUCCUCUGCUUUCUCAAGCAUGCUCUAUUAUCGAGUUUGUGUUAUUUAUUCUUGAAAUUUGUGGUAUAUGCUCCUAAGAUGCCCCGAUGUGUUGAACCUAUGCCUUCCUUAAUCUAUGUGAACCCGAAAGAUUUCAUGGGUCAUACUUAUCUGGUAUUGCACCAGGUAAAACUUUCAACAACUAAUGCCAUUUUCGAAAAGCGAGAGGUGAAUGAAAGGUUAUACAUUGAAGAAGUGGGAGUCGACCUUGAACUUGUGUUCAUGCCCAUGGACCCGAUGUGGAACUUAUCAUGGAAGCUUCUUGCAAAAUAUUUAAUCAUUUGGGUAAUUCUUUCGGUGUCAUUAAAUUGGAUCCCUGCAGCUAUGGUUCCGACCAUAUUAUUCUCCUUUGAUCCCAUUUCUCGGACAAGUUGAAGUACUUGUCUUCUGCAGGUCAAUACAUCUAUCCAACCUCUAUUCUGCUCUGCCUUCGAGUAUACCCUUAGGUAUCUCGAGAAUAUCACGGAACUACAUAACUUCUUAUGAGUUCUUCAUCAACUAUUAUUCUCGCCGAUUCCAGUGCCCCCCGGGUUAUGAGUUAAUAGUCACUCGAGAACACCGAUAAGUGAAUCGAUUCAGCACACCGAUUCAAUAACAAGUAAUUUUCGUGGCUUAUGAGUUUAAUAAUCCUUCAAGUCAUUCCUAGCCUGAUUGGCUAUAUCAUUAUCGUCCUAAAUUUUAACUGUGCCACCCAUUCCUUAUUACCGGAGCACAUCUUUCGACAAUAAGCUAAGCUUACGUCGAUUUCCUCGUCUUAUCGUUUCACCUCGAACCACAAACUGGAUUCUGAGUUUGUGUCGUACCCAUGGUUCCAAUAACCCUUCGCUUCAUUAUUCCUUUGGCCUGAUGUCGUCGCUGAUUGAUUACAUCUUCAUGAAAUCUCUCGACAAAUGUGUUGUGAUCAUCAUCAACAUUCCGAGGUCUUCCAAGAUAUCUAUCGAAUUCUUGAUGAGAAAUACCAUCCUUUGGCCUCGAUGAUUUGUGUUCUCAUCAACCACUUUAUUGCCUUCCGUUCAACACAAACUUGUCCGUGUUUUGUGUUAUACUUUGAGUUCCUUUCUGUCCAGCAAUUGUUCUUCUUUACCUUGGAGUAUUACCAUCUUUUAUGUCAGGAAUGUCGUGAAAAUUUCACCACCUCUUGAGAAUUCUUGAUACAAGUGAUACUUUUCACCAUCACAAUUCCUUCUUGGUCCCCGUGUUGUUUAAUACCGGAAUGCCGACAAAUGGACUAUGAUGGGUGAAUUCAAAACUUCUAGCAACCCUAUUGCUUGUAAGUUACAAAUGAUAGUUUCUUUCUUCAUAUGUUGGUUAUUGACUCAUCAUCCUAACAUUGAUCGGGCUACUUAGUCCAUGUUUUGUUAUGCACUUUUCGAUCAAUGUUUAUUUGCGAAUGUUUCCCUCGGGCAUACAUCAUUAUAUCAUUUGAUCUGACAAAUGUUAUCUCCUUGUUCACAUGAUUGAGGAAAUCCAUCUUUUUGGAAGUCUCAAUGAAUUUUCGCCAAGUCCAUCAGCCACCUCCUCACCCUCUCCUUGGUUUAAUGAUGAACUCUUGUUUCGGAACUUGCUUCCAUAGUUCAUUUCCGAGAAUCUUGAAACGCCUGCUCAUCAAUUUGUGUUGCACCCUUUCCUUCCCAGACAUCCUGAGUUUGAGGUAUCCUAACACCAAUCAGAUCUGAAUCUCGGUCAGAUAAGAUGGUUGGAACAUAUUUCCAAGACUUAUAAACAUUGGUCAUUAUAUGGCCCGGUAAGGUGAUAUCAUGCCUAGCACACCUGGCUGGAUGACCCAUUGUUAUAGUUCUUCCUUUUUUAGCAAGGUUAUCCAUUCUUCCGUGAGGAAAUUGUAAGACUUACUCCACAAGUUGUUCCUGAUGGAUCCUUCAUGUAUCCAGAGUUUGAACUUUGCUUGAAGACCAUGUCAAUGCUAUCUCGAAGCAUCUCUCUGGUACUCUGAUUUUACAAUAAGCACAUUUGUAGCACAAUGCUAAAUGUUUCUUGAUCAAUUAUCCACACACCAUUGUAUGGGUAAUGUCAUGAAAUUUCUCUCCCCUUUCCUGAAGGGUUUUCUACUUUAUAUACUGCCAUGGAUAUCAUGCUUUGCUUGUCCUUGGGAAGGGUAUACCCCUGGUAUAUGUGUCAAACACAUUUUCCUUUCCAUGUUUCUGUUUGAUCUGAUGAUCACAUUUUCCUUUCCAUUGAUUUGUUUAACCUUCCUUGUGAUCCAUAUGAUCUAAGCAGUAAUGUUCUUCUGCUUAUGUAAAUACCUUGGUGUACAGCCGUGUCAGUAAGACCGUGUUGCAUUUGUCGAUAGCAUUCUGGUAAGCACGAUGGACGAGAACCUUGCCUAUUGGUCCGCCUCGUUUAACGAGCAGAAAAUUGUUCUCUUCGUCCCUCGCCCUUGGUAUCGAUGUUGUUGCCGACAUAACUGAUAGGCACCCUCUGACAUGCCUUGCUAUCGUGACCGUGCAAGAUGUCAGCCCCCUUUCAACUUUAAACCACAUGGUGGGCCCAUAACCCACAGUUCCACAAGAUCGAAACCUGACUCUCAUAUACACCCCCGAUUUCGAAAGCUAUUCCUCGCGCAUGGCCUCGUAUGUAAUUCACGAGCCACCUUCCGAGAGAUCAUCAAUUCUGGUAUCAGACACAAUACUUAUUCCCGUUGCUUUGAACACCUUUCACGCCCCAUUUCAGGCAUCGAACGAUUACCUUCCCGCUUGAAACUUCCCAUGAUACCUUCUUACUUUGCUCUCAAUAUUUUCUUAAGUUUCAAUUCGAGAGUUACUUUUCUCCACCUUCCCCGAUGUUAUCGACCAGAUAGUCAACCUUGCAGAGGUCUGUUCCCCUGGAAUGCCCACCCUUUAUUCUUUCGUAAGUACAAUGGAGUUCCCGAAGAAAGGAUGUUGACCGCAUCAUGAUGACCUGAAGCAGAGAAAUGAAGACAUCAACGUAAUGGAUCGACCUCUUCGAGAAGAGCAACCAAGACCAAGAAGAUUCGUUAGAAUUUCGUAACCGGAUCUUUCCCCCUUACUCCACCUCUUAAAAUCUCGGGACGAGAUUUCUUGUAGUGGAGGAGAAUUGUGACGCCCGGAUAAUUAAGCUAUAGUAAUUCCCUAUUAAUGAUGGCACGUCACCACAAUUACUGUUGUUGAUCUCACGUUAGUUCGAAACCGAUUCCAAUUCAAAUUUGAAUUAAAGGCAAACACCAAAGUUUUCAAACAUUAAAAAUAAAAUGUUCCGGUUGUGCCAAAUAAUGUAUAGGUAAUCAUGGUGGAGAAAGCACACUUUUAUAGGAUGCUUAAAUACUCUAAGAUGAAUUAAACAGUAGCAAAAACUAUUAUUUACAUACUUUUAAAUAAUAAUUAAUUACGAAACUAUUUUACUUUGGGUAGCAAAAUUAAUGUGGUAGUGGCAUAAUUGGUGACAUCAAUUUAGGUGCCACUUUGGUAUAUUGUUAACACUAGAAUAAACAGCAACUAAAUGAAACAGAAAAUAAAUAAAGUAAAUAAAAGAGAAAAGAAAAGUAAAACAAAAUUGAACAAAAGACCCCCCUUUUUGCUGGGCCUCGGCCCAGCCGGCCGGCACAGCCGACCAUCCCGCACGCCUAGUGUACUAAGGCCCCGCUACCCCCCGACCGUAACCUAAUCCCCCCACGAUCCCCACUCCUCACACGCCUCUCCUCCUUCCCCGUUCUGGAUCUGGGCGGAGCGCCUGACCCCGAUGUCCCUCGUCCCACCGCGGCCACCAUGCGCCCCGCCGCCUAGGAGCUCGUCGCACGCCUCGUCGUUGACCACUUCCUCGCCCCCGACCACGCGUAGGAGCCAGGACGGCCCACGACGCCGCCCCGUGCUGGGCUUCCUCCUCGGGCCACCGCACACCGCCACCGACUCCGGCCACCCCGAGCCUCCCUCGAGCCUGCUGCCAUGCCCUACGGCUCCACUGUGAGCUCCGCCGCCAAAUCCCUUUCUCCCCCGUGCUCGAUUCCACCGCCUAGCCAUCAUCCCGUUGAGCAGCGAGCUCCGACCGCCGCCAUGGGCGAUGAGCACCACGCUCCCGAACCCCCCUCUGCUCGUACGAGCUACGCCAACACGUUCAUGGAGCUCCGUAGAGGCCGCCUGUGCCGUUUGUUUGGUCAACUCCCUCGUGUAGCCCGCUUUUGCUGAGCUCCCGCUCCGGUCGCCGCCUCAGUUCAUCGCCGUCGCCGUUCCCGACCAUCUCCGGUCGAGGUAGAGCCCCCGUUCGACGCGCGCUGCUGCGUGUGUUCGAAUGCAUCUGGCCGCAUCCAAAAUGGUGCCCGGUACGCGUUUUUCGACGCGCUCCAGCGUGUCGCCGCCGUCGGUUUGGUCACCUGCGUGCCGGCCGUUCGAAACGCCUCGUGGGCCACCGACAAGUGGACCCCGCGGGGAUUAACCACUAACCCCCCACUGACAUGUGGGCCCCUGCCUCUAAUUAGGUUAGUUAAAAAUAAUAAACACUGUUAUUAGAGUAGUCACUGACAACCUGGCCCACAUACUAAUUUGUUUAAUUUAUUUAUUUAGAACCUGUUAUUAUAAACAGUCACUGACUACUGGGUCCCGCUGGACCCAGUUGGCUAGUCAACUCUGCUGGCUGGGCACUCCCAGUCAGUGACAGGUGGGACCCCCUUGGGCCCCUUUGACUUCGUUGACCAGUCAACUGGUCAACAGUUGACUGGCUAACUCAGCCCCUGCCCCACAUGUUACUCUUAGUAGCACAUGUGUGGGUACACUUCUGUGUACCCGUAGUAAUUCUACUUUUAUUUUCGAUUUAAAUUAAAUUCAGAAAAUGUAUAAACUUUGAAAAUUAAUAUAAAAUAAUCCGUAACUCGGAUGAAAAUACUUUGUACAUGAAAGUUGCUCAAAACGACAAGCCGAAUCCGGAUCCGUAGCCUGUUUGUCCGCCACACAUCGUUAGCAUAGCAAACACACAACUUUCCCACUCCGGUUCAUCUGUCCGAAAACGCGAAACACCGGGAAUACUUUCCCGGAUGUUUCCCCCUUCGCCGGUAUCACCUACUACCGCGUUAGGGCACACCUAGCACCGUUCAUUGUCAUGUCAUGCAUCGUCAUGCAUAUGUUUGCAUUAUAUUUAUUUUUUCUCCCCCCUCUUCUCUCGCUAGACAUCGAGGCCGACGCCGCUGCUAUCCAGUACGACUACAGUGUUGACGACCCCUUCUUCUUGCCAGAGCAACCAGGAAAGCCCCCCCUUAAUCACCAGAUAUCGCCUAUUCCUUCUCUCUACUGCUUGCAUUAGAGUAGUGUAGCAUGUUACUGCUUCGGUUAAUCCUAUUCUGCUGCAUAGCCUGCCAUUGUUGCUACAAUUGUUACCCUUACCUGCAAUCCUAAAUGCUUAGUAUAGGAUGCUAGUAUUCCAUUAGUGGCCCUACAUUCUUGUCCGUCUGCCAUGCUAUACUAUCGGGUCGUGAUCACUCGGGAGGUGAUCGCGGGUAUAUACUUGCAUACAUAUUAUACAUGAUACAUGUGGUGACUAAAGUCGGGUUGGCUCGUAGAGUACCCGCAAGUGGUUUCGAUGAGGGGGCUGAAAGAACAGGUGGUUCCAUCCCGGUAGAGGUGGGCCUGGGUUCCCGACGGCCCCCGACUGUUACUUUGUGGCGGAGCGACAUGGCAGGUUGAGACCACCUAGGUGAGGGGUGUGCCUGGCCCUGGUCGGCGUCCGCGAUUACUUCAAAAUAACACGCUUAACGAGAUCUUGGUAUUUGAUCCGAGUCUGGCCACUGGCCUAUAUGCACUAACCAACUACGCGGGAACAGUUAUGGGCACUCGACGUCGUGGCAUCAGCCGAAGCCUUCUCGACGUUAGCGACUGAGCGACGCGCGCCGGGUUGGACUGGAACGCCUGCUCUUGUAUUAGGGAGGCUAGGUCUGCUUCCGGCCGCGUUUGCAAUGUGCAGGUGUGCAAUGGGCGAUGUGCCCAGACCCCUGUGCCAUAGGAUUUAGACCGACGUGCUGACCUCUCUGUUGUGCCUAUGUAGGGCUGUGACGUGUUGAUCUUCGGAGGCCGGGCAUGACCCAGGAAAAUGUGUCCGGCCAAAGGGGAUCGAGCGUGUCGGGUAAUGUGGUGCACCCCUGCAGGGAAGUUUAUCUAUUCGAAUAGCCGUGAUCUUCGGUAACAGGACGACUUGGAGUUGUACCUUGACCUUAUGACAACUAGAACCGGAUACUUAAUAAAACACACCCUUCCAAGUGCCAGAUAUAACUCGGUGAUCGCUCUCACACAGGGCGACGAGGAGAGGAUCGCCGGGUAGGAUUAUGCUAUGCGAUGAUACUUGGUGAACUUACCAUCUACUCUCUUCUACAUGCUGCAAGAUGGAGGUUGCCAGAAGCGUAGUCUUCGACAUGACUAGCUAUCCCCCUCUUAUUCUGGCAUUCUGCAGUUCAGUCCAUCGAUAUUGCCCCUCUACACAGAUAACCAUGCAUAUGUAGUGUAGAUCCUUGCUUGCGAGUACUUUGGAUGAGUACUCACAGUUGCUUUGCUCCCCUUUUUUCCCUUUCCUUUCUUCCUGGUUGUCACAACCAGAUGCUGGAGCCCAGGAGCCAGACGCCACUGUCGACGACGGCUCCUACUACAGCGGAGGUGCCUACUACUACGUGCAGGCCGCUGGCGACGACCAGGAGUAGUUUAGGAGGAUCCCAGGUAGGAGGCUUGUGCCUCUUUCGAUCUGUAUCCCAAUUUGUGCUAGCCUUCUUAAGGCAAACUUCUUGAACUUAUGUCUGUACUCAGAUAUUGUUGUUUCCGCUGACUCGUCUAUGAUCGAGCAAUUGUAUUCGAGCCCUCGAGGCCUCUGACUUGUCUUAUGAUGCUUGUAUGACUUAGUUUAUUUUUAGAGUUGUGUUGUGAUAUCUUCCCGUGAGUCCCUGAUCUUGAUCGUACACGUUUGCGUCUAUGAUUAGUGUAUGAUUGAAUCGGGGGCGUCACACAAACCCUAGUCCAAAAACCCCCCAUCCCCCAACCCAUACAAAAAACCCCGGCCCAUCUAUCAAACCAACUACUGUAACCAUCUGAACUACUGUAUGAAUCACAAUCGUACUAACUCUACAAGCUAAGCAAGUGCAAAUGGGUGCCCAGUGCAAAUACCUGCUCCUCCACGGCAGGCGGCGCAACGGGGGCAUCGGGAUGGACUGCACCGCUCGACGCCGUCACCUUCUGCAGCGAUGAAGCGGAGCCUGCCACAUCCGCAGCGGUUGCGAGUUUCCCGGCACCGCCGUGGAAGCCACCGACAUCCGCGGUCACCGCGCCCUGACCCUGCAGCUCCACCACAUCUUCGCCCGGUGCGCCGGCGUUGCCACGAUCGUCGGCCAUCUGACAGAUGGAGGCGAUGAAGGUGAGGAAGAGGAUGCGGUGGGGGAGAGCGAGACGGUGCGGUGGAGGCAGUGGAGGAGAGCGAGACCACGACGGCGUGUAGAGGAAGACGAUGCGGCAGCGAGUGGAUUUGGGGGAAAACGGUAGGGGCGAUGGAGGUGGUUGCCCUCUUUAUAUGAUGGGAUGUUUCGGGCAUGUCCAUGGACAUGUGUGUCGGUGUCAAAACCGGCGGAUCUCGGGUAGGGGGUCCCGAACUGUACGUCUAGGAUCGAUGGUAACAGGAGACGGGGGGCACGAUGUUUACCCAGGUCGGGCCCUCUCUAUGGAGGUAAUACCCUACUUCCUGCUUGAUUGAUCUUGAUGAAUAUGAGUGUUACAAGAGUUAAUCUACCACAAGAUCGUAAUGGCUAAAACCCUAGGAGCCUAGCCUAUGUGUAUAUGGUAAUGAAUGUCCCCUAUCCGGACAAUGCUCUCCGGUUUAUAUAGACACCAGAGAGAUCUAGGGUUACAUGGAGUCGAUUACAUAAGAAGGAAUCUUCACAGCUGGUCGCCUAGCUUGCCUUCCACGCCAAGGAAAGUCCAAUCCGGACACGGGUAUAGUCUUCGGCCUUCGUAUCUUCACAACCCAUCAGUCGGCCCAAUGAGUAACAGGCCGGACGCCCGAGGACCCCUUAGUCCAGGUCUCCCUCAGUAGCCCCUGAACCUGGCUUCAAUGACGAGGAGUCCGGCGCGUAGAUUGUCUUCGACAUUGCAAGGCGGGUUCCCCUUUCUCCGAACUCCAGGAUAGUUCUUUGGAUGCGAUGAUUGUAUCCGGACCUGUUACGCACACCACACACAACCACAGAGAGAAUAUAAUAUUUGUACAAAUCUAAUUUGUUGACAGCUUCUUUACAACACGACAUCGCGCUUGUCCGGUCAUAAUUUUGAACCGUUUUUGUUCUGUCAUCCCACGUUUCGAGACGCGGUUGCUAUUGGCACGUCUUGUCAAAACAAAGAUCGUGUCCCCUUAUUGCGGGAUUCUCAUCAGUGCGGGCAUGGGUAACUCAACCGUGCCGUUUAUACAACCCUUGGGAACAGGCGAAUCCUAAGGCGAGUGAGGAGGCGUUUAAUAUUUGCUGCCUUUAUAUGGGGAUAAGGAUUCCCCCUUCCUCUUCUCACACUCUCUCUCUGUCUCCGCCUUUCCGAUCUCAAGCUCCAGCCCCCAAGUUCUCAUCUCCUUUCCACUCAAGCAACCAUGUCCGGAUCCGGUGGUCAGGGCAAGUGGAUGGUCUCCUCCAUCAAGGAGGAGGACAUUACCGAGCUCCGGGCGGCCGGAUAUUUGGCGAAGGAGAUCGCCCAUCGUCUGCCAGCCGAGGGACAAGUCGUUCCCACGCCGGAGCCCACAGAGAGGGUAGUAUUCACCACUCAUUUCUUCCGCGGGCUAGGGUUUGCACUCCACCCUUUCGUCCGCGGGCUGAUGUAUUAUUACGGGAUAGAUUUUCAUGAUCAGUCCCCGAAUUCCUUCCUCAACAUCUCGACGUUUAUCGUCGUGAGCGAGGCCUUCCUCCGCAUCCAACCCCACUUCAGGCUGUGGCUCAAAGUCUUCAACGUGAAGUCAAAGGUGGUGGACGGCCAGCACGCAGAGUGCGGAGGAGCUAUGGUGAGCAAGCUUCCCAACGUCUCCUGGCCGAAAGGUAUUUUUGUGGAGACGGUGAAGGAGUGGCAGAGACAAUGGUUCUACAUCACAGAACCCCGCGGCACCACCUGGGCCGCAGCUGCCGAAUUCCGCUCCGGUGCUCCCAUGCGGCUCACCUCUUGGGUCGAGAAGAGUCCGGACUGGUGUUCGUCCGAUGAGCUGAUAGCGUUGCAGACGCGCGUCCAGAGCAUGAUAGCCAAGAACGUCAAGCUCGUCGAUGUAAUCUAGGUGAUGCUGGUUCGCCGGAUUCUUCCGUGCCAGCGCAGAGGACGACCUCUGUGGGAUUUCGACCCGAAGAAGCAUCGGACCCUGGUGAGGCUCUUCGAGACCACCCACGAAGAUGCCUGGAGGUUGCUCUUUAAGGGAAUGAGAAACCGCCGGCCAAGGAUUUAGACUGUGGUCACGACUGUAAACACCACGCCAGCGAGGUAUGUUACUUUUGACGCAUCCCCGACUUAAAUGUUUCGAGGAUGAUGUCUGAGAUUUUAUUAUUGCUCCCUCAGGACUGGAUGGAGAGGGCAAAGCGGAUCCAGUGUCCGGCUCCGCUGCCCGAAGAACCGGUCAUCCCGUGCCUGGCAAAGAUGCUGGUGCCGGCGCCGUAUAAGGCGCUGGAGAAGAAGGCCAAGGGGGCCAAGAGUGGCCCCCAUGGCAAGGGCACUUCGGAUGUGACGUCCGAAGACGACGAGGCCCAUUCCUCUGUCCCUGAGGACAAUGACGAGGAAGAGGAGGAGGAGGAGGAGAACAACCCUCCCCCCGAGGCGAAGAAGAAGAAGAGGGCGUCUUCGGCGCGUCUGGAGGCGGAGACGCCAAGAAGGGGAAAGGCGUCCCAGCGGUCAACACCGCAUGGGAUGUCGACCGUAGUCCGGAACGACGCCCCCGUACUAAGCCCCGGGCCACAUCGUAAGUGACGUGGCUUGCUGGUGCGCACAUCCGGCCCUUUCUCUCCGUUUAUCUUUGACAUAGUUUAACUGUACUAUUGCAGUCCGGCCCGUGACCUUGUCCAGCGAUCCUCAUCUGAAGGUUCAUUGGCUCCGUCGGAGAUGGCGAGCCAGUCGCCACCGCCUGCUUACUCCCCCGGGGCCAGGGACGACACCGAAGUGCUGUCCCGGAGGGCCGAUCCGAACCGGGGAGGAGCCCAGGACGCUGUCCGGGAGGCGCCACGAGGAGAAGCCUCCAUUGCCGGACACAUGGAGGACACGAUCCCUAUGGAGACUGGCGAAGAGGGCCGCAUCCAGUUUGGCCCUCAGCCGAAUACGAUUUCGGAGACCCAUAUGGCUCCGGAGUCGGGCGAGCAGCCCCCUUUGAAGGAGGGGGGUGCGCCGCUUCCGCCGGUGGUCCCUGUCCAUCCAGGGGCGCCGGACAACCUGAUGGAGGCACUACGAGGCGCCUCCGUUAUGGACGAGCACCGUGUCCUUAUGGGCGCGGUGAUUGAGAAGGUUCAGUCCACCAAGAGUGGACUAAACGAAGCCUCCAGCAACCUGUUGAUAGGUUUCGAGGUAAGUGACAUAGAAAGAGAAAAAACCCCUGUAGUCAGUAGCCCCUGAGACACUGUCCGGUGUUCGGCGAGAAGAACCGGACAAAGGAUCUAUUGUAGGAGACUAACGUAGCAUGUAUGCAUAAGCAGGCGUCGCUGUUGGCCGCAACCUCGCAUGCUGCCGAAGUCUCUGAAUUGUGGCAGAGGCUGGAGCGGACCGAGAACGAGCUCGGCGAGGUCAGGGUUCGGCUCCAGGAGAAGCAAGGUGAAUAACGACUUGCUGUAUGUUCGGAAAGCAUAGGCGAUGUAUAUUGACUGUAGUGUCGUAAUAUGUGCAGGAGCCGCGACCGAGGUCGAGGCCCUAAGGAAGGCCCUGGGCGAGGCCGAGGAGAAAGCUGUCCAGUAGCAGGCCGCUCGUAAGAAGCUCAAGGCCCGGGUCAAAGAAGUCCAACAGGAGCUUCAAGAUGCGGUGAAAAAAUGUGAGACCUUGGAGAAUGAUGCGUCAGCUAAGGAGGCCGAACUCACCAAGGCUCGUCAGAGCGCAGAGACCGCAUAGAAUGAGGCCCAGGCCGCCCUCCAGGAGAUCCAGGAGGCCAAGAAGAUCACGGCGUGUAAGGUAUUUAAGAUGCAAAGCAAGUAUGCGGAGAAGCAAUACCGUUUACUAACCCGGGUUCGGAGUUCCCCAGGGUCUUUUGCAGAUCUACCACGCAGCGUAUCAGACGGUGCAGAGUUCUACCGAGCCGAAGGAGGAGGUUCUAUGGAGAAACUAUUCUGGUCACAGUACGCGACGCCAGAGCAUCCUGUGUCCUUCACCGAUCAGCUGAAGCAGCUGGUGGAGCUGCACAGGGUGGCCGAACUAGCCAUGAAGGAUUUGACAAUCCGGCUAUGGCCAGCCGAAGCUAUGCUCGGCAGCUACUUCGGACUCGUGAGGCGUCUGGUGGAGGCCUGUCCGUGGCUGGACGUCAUCAAGUGCUCCGCCUGUAUUGAAGGUGCCCGUAUGGCCUUCGCUCGCUGCAAGAUGUGGUGGGCGAAGAUGAACGCUGUUGAAGUUGCCAGCGGGCCGCCGGAGGGCAAGGAGCACCGCAGACACGAGUGAUAUUUCGCGGAUGUCGUAGAGGGGUCUCGACUUGUGGCGGCGCAAUGUUCGCAGGACAUUCUAUUUGAAUAAAUGUAUUCAUGUUGCCUUUGCCUUGUAUUACGGGAACAAAGCCGGUGUUUGUAAAAUAAUUUUAUUAUGCUUUGAAUUGUUUCCUCCUGUGCGGCCGUGUUAUUUGUAAUCUAAAGGUUGGCCAGUCGUCGGCUUCUGCCCUCACGUAGGUAGUACGGAGGUGUUCGGGAUGGAUUCUAAACAAUCUUGAUCCAAUUAUAUGGUCCUUUGGAGGAGUUGUUUAGCGCAACGAACAAGGCAAUUGGACUGUACGCCUUGAACACCCUCACUUAGCCAUAGGAGUUUUAUAAUUAAGCAAGUGUGCAGCCCCUGGUCCAGGCCAGGGUGCUGUCAGCAUGUGAUCAGGAAGUACCGAUCCUUCGCAUUACGCGGAAAAAAUCUCCAACGAUUUUGUAACCCUCGAACAGCUGACCGGCUCUCGUCGUAUCAUGACAGUUAGUUUUCGGCUUUCUGUACUGAGGUGCUCAUCUUGUCAAGGCCAGGGCACAAUCGCAGUAGUUCUCCCUUUACUACCCUAGCCGAUAGAGCGGAACGUAGGGUAGCAAGCACAGGAGCCAGGCAACCCAACUAUUGACCAAAGACAUGAUUCGGAGCCAAUGAAUAUAAUGUUGAAUUCGGGGUGCCAAACUUAUAUAUUAGAAGUGUUCGGACUUUGCAGCCGUAUUGUGGGGCAACAAGUAGCCCCCGGCGAAUAUGAAACGUACAGAAGAGUAUCGAUGCAGCAAAUAAGAAGAUCGAAAUAAAACGUAGUAAGAAGCGAAAACCACAGAAACUGGGCCACGGGCCAUUUUUAUUAUAACUGGAUGGAUACGUCAAGGCGUAUCCUGUACAGAUGGUGCGAAAAGUAUCCGGGCUAUUUAACAUGCCGGAAUCUGUAGGGUGCAGCGUGCGGGUCCUGAGAAAUAAGUAUGAAUACCGUCAAGAAGAACGUAUAAAGGUUACCCUACACACCUGUGCCGUUUGCCUCCGUUGUAUGCCAAUCCUUCUACAAGACUUGCAAUCAGGCCCGCGGAAAAAGGGACCUAAAACAAGAAAAAGGUAAAAGUAUGUGUGUCCGGGGUCUGCCUAGCCGAGCUGUAGACCCCGGGUUAUCUUGUGCCUCCGUCGAUGUCCAUGGAAUUUUGAGUGUGUAAUUGUGUACGCGUGGUAUGCAUGCCACUACCUCAUUGGGACUGGGAUGGAGGCCGAAUUGCUAGUCGAGCUCUUGACGAGCCGCGCCGUCCUGUUGCAGUGUAGUCCGGGACCUCUUGAUGAUGUCCGAGGGCUCAGCAGCCAUACUAUGGUGCUGCUUGAGAAGGCCACUCUGCACUACUGCUGCUAGGGAGGCGGUGUGCUCCUCUGUUCGGAGGGAGCAUUCCAUAUUGCCAUUGACUGUUAUGAUGCCGCGUGGACCGGGCAUCCUGAGCUUGAGAUAAGCAUAGUGUGGCACUGCGUUGAAUCUAGCAAACGCGGUUCGUCUGAGCAGUGCGUGAUAGCCGCUGCGGAAGGGGACGAUAUCGAAGAUUAACUCUUCGCUUCGGAAGUUGUCCGGAGAACCAAAGACCACCUCCAGCGUGAUUGAGCCCGUACAGCGGGCCUCUACGCCUAGUAUGACUCCUUUAAAGGUAGUCUUUGUUGGUUUGAUUCGCGAGGGGUUAAUGCCCAUCUUCCGCACUGUGUCCUGAUAAAGCAGGUUGAGGCUGCUACCACCGUCCAUCAGGACUCGUGUUAGGUGAAACCCGUCAAUAAUUGGGUCGAGGACUAGUACGGCUGAACCGCCAUGGCGGAUACUAGUUGGGUGAUCCCGGCGAUCGAAGGUGAUCGGGAAUGAUGACUACGGAUUGAAUUUUGGGGCGACUGGCUCUACCGUGUAGACGUCCCUAAGUGCUCGCUUACGCUCCCUUUUGGGGAUGUGCGUAGCAUAUAUCAUGUUCACCGUUUUGACUUGAGGGGGAAAUUUCUUCUGCCCCCCAGUGUUCGGCUGCCGGGGCUCUUCGUCGUCCUCACUUUGUGAUCCCUUUUCUUUGUUUUCAGCAUUUAACUUGCCGGCCUGCUUGAAGACCCAACAAUCCCUAUUGGUAUGAUUGGCUUGCUUAUCCGGGGUGCCGUGAAUUUGGCACGGACGGUCGAGUAUGCGGUCCAGGCUGGAAGGUCCCUCGUUGUUUCUUUUGUAGGGCUUCUUCCGUUGGCCGGACUUGGGGCCACUGAAUCCGGCGUUGAUUAUGGUGUCAUCGGUGUUGUCGCCAUUGCUUUGGGGUUUGUGUCUAUUGCGCCGGAGCUUUCCGGUGCUGUUCUUGGCCUCAGUGGGACCUGCCUCGCUGGCUGUGUUUUUACUACAAGCCAGCCAACUGUCCUCACCCGCGCAAAAGCGGGUCAUGAGUGCCGUACGGGCUGCCAUAGACUUCGGCUUUUCUUGGCCAAGGUGGCGUGCUAGCCAUUCGUCACGGAUGCUGUGCUUGAAGGCUGCUAGGGCCUCGGCAUCCAGACAGUCAACAAUCUGGUUCUUUUUGGUUAGGAACCUAGUCCAGAAUUUUUUAGCUGAUUCUCCAGGUUGUUGAACUAUGUGGCUUAAGUCAUCGGCAUCUGGUGGCCGGACAUAAUUUCCUUGGAAGUUAUCGAGGAAAGCCUCUUCCAAGUCCUCCCAACUGCCGAUGGAAUUCUCAGGCAGGCUGUUUAACCAGUGCCAAGCUGGCCCUUUGAGCUUUAAUGGGAGGUAUUUGAUGGCGUGGAGGUCAUCUCCUCGAGCCAUAUGGAUAUGGAGAAUGAAAUCCUCGAUCCAUACUAUGGGAUCGGUUGUGCCGUCGUAUGAUUCGAUGUUGACAGGCUUGAACCCCUCGGGGAAUUCGUGAUCCAGUACUUCGUCUGUGAAGCAGAGAGGGUGUGCGGCGCCUCUAUAUCGGGCCGCGUCAUGGCGUAGCUCUGAUGGAGUCCAUCUGCGGUAUUCGGCCCCAGCGUCGUUAGGUUUAUCACGUCCGAAUAGGUAGCCGUCGUCGUGCCUCGAGGCACGCCCUCGCGAUCCGUAGAUCGAUCUUGUAUGUCCUGCUCUAUCGUCCAGGCUCUGCCGGAGGUCGUACGUGUGACCCCGAACUCUUCCGUCUUUAUUUUUACGAGGCGGUGGGGCAGGCUGCUGUUCGGCCUGAAUUGCCGCUUUAUCCCGGCCGCCCUGUCUCGACCACGUGGUGGUCGUUCCGCAUUACGCGAGGGAGAUGUGUGCUCCGGUGCUUCCUCGUCGAAUUGAGGUAGCAGUCUGCGUUUCUGGUAGCUCUUUGCUGGGCGCCUGAGGCCGUAUUCUUCGGCUGUCAGGACAUCAGUCCAUCUGUUGACAAGCAGAUCUUGUUCAGCUUGAAGCUGCUGCUGUUUCUUUUUUACGCUCCUUGCAGUGGCUAUGAGCUGAAGCUUAAAGCGCUCCUGCUCGAGAGGAUCCUCGGGCACGAUGAAGUCUUUGUUGCCAAGGCUUGUCUCCUCCUCGGAGGGUGGACGGUAACUAUCGUCCUCCGAGUCAUCUUCCAUGGCCUGUUCGUCAGGGUUGUCUUGCCUGCUGUCAUGUUCUUGUUCGGAUGUAGCCCCGACAGGGUCUUCAUUGUUUUCGGCGUCGCCCGGAGUACUAUUUUCUCCGGUGCCAGUGUUGCCGUCCUUUGAUCGACGGGGCUUAGAGCGGCGUUUGGGCUGCCGGCGCUUGGACUGUGUCUCCGAGGUUUUAUUCGCAUCUGGCUCUUCUUUGUCGUCGCCAGAUCCUUUGGGUGUGUCAACCAUGUGCACGUCAUACGAAGAGGUGGCCGUCCAACGUCCAGUGAAUGGCGGGUCUUGGCCUUGCUCCUGAUCGGCAUCGUCGUCCAUACCGUCGAUGUCUUCGGAGCCAUAGUCAAGCACGUCAGUUAAGUCAUCGACAGUGGCUAUGAAGUGGGUGGCGGGUGGGAAGCAAAAUUCUCCAUCAUCAUCCGAAAGUUCAAACCGAACAUAGUUCGGCGACGAGUCAUCCGCCAAGGAUAGGUUUCUUAAUGAGUUUAGUAGGUCGCCCAUGGGCGAGUGUUGGAAGACAUCUGCGGCGCUGAACUCGAGAAUCGAUAACCGAUCAAACUCGGCGUUCGCGGGCGCGCGCGGUUCGGAACUCGCAGCCGGAUAUGAGUCCAGCAUUCCGUUAUCACAGAUGUUGCAUGAGGCAGAGUCCAUAUGCGGCUCCAACACUGCGGGCUCGGUGGCCUCGGAUGGCGCAAUCUGCUCCGGCCUUAAGGUCAUUGCAGCAACAGGAACCAUCUCCUGGAUGUGAUCCGGUGACAGAUUUAAGUCAUGUUCAUCGGGGGCAGCGGUCGCCGCGGUCUCGAAUCUGGUGAAGAUCAAGUCUCCACGGAUGUCUGCGACGUAAUUCAGGCUUCCGAAUCUGACCUGAUGGCCAAGGGCGUGGCUAUCGACCUGCUCCAGAUGGCCAAGCGAGUUGGCCCGCAGUACGAAGUCGCCGAACACAAAGGUUUGUCCGGGGAGGAAGGUUUCUCCCUGGACAACGUCAUUACUGACGAUCGAAGGGGCCAUCGAGCCCUUUGCCGACGGCACAGUGGAACUCUCAAUGAAAGCACCAAUGUCGGUGUCAAAACCGGCGGAUCUCGGGUAGGGGGUCCCGAACUGUGCGUCUAGGAUCGAUGGUAACAUGAGACGGGGGACACGAUGUUUACCCAGGUUCGGGCCCUCUCUAUGGAGGUAAUACCCUACUUCCUGCUUGAUUGAUCUUGAUGAAUAUGAGUGUUACAAGAGUUGAUCUACCACGAGAUCGUAAUGGCUAAAACCCUAGGAGCCUAGCCUAUGUGUAUAUGGUAAUGAAUGUCCCCUAUCCGGACUAUGCUCUCCGGUUUAUAUAGACACCAGAGAGAUCUAGGGUUACAUGGAGUCGGUUACAUAAGAAGGAAUCUUCACAGCUGGUCGCGUAGCUUGCCUUCCACGCCAAGGAAAGUCCAAUCCGAACACGGGUAUAGUCUUCGGCCUUCGUAUCUUCACAGCCCAUCAGUCCGGCCCAAUGAGUAACAGGCCGGACGCCUGAGGACCCCUUAGUCCAGGACUCCCUCAACAUGCUACCCCACGACCGCGGUCUUGCAUGCGCCCACGUAUACGAGGCCCCACUCGUCAGCUAACGGUCAAAGGCAUUGACCCGACGGCAACGUCCGUUAUAACCAGUUAUGAGGGUUUCGGGCAAGGGAGUGGGGAGAAGUGAGCAAAAGUUAACAGAGUGGGGAUGAAUGAGUAGAGCUAAGGAACCAGGGGCACAGAAAUAAAAAUCCCUAAAGUUAAAUGAUCAAACAGGGAUUAGUAAGAACAUACCAACAAACAGAUCAUCUAGUUAAUCUAACAGACUGUGCGAUUUUCCUAACCCUUAAACUAAAUGACUAAUGUUGGAUAAAUCAGACUAACACAUAGAUCAUCUAACUAAUGUAACCAGCGUGUGAUGUGCUUGGACCUUAAGCAAAAUGACCAAAGCGUGGACUAAUCCAAUAACACCAGCCCCCGCCAAAUCUGCCCCUCCGUCUCUCCUCCACAAGCCCCACUAAUAAGCACAAAGAAAUGAAACGAAAAAAAACACCAAGCACCCAUAUGUGUAGAUGAGAACAAAAUCACAGCCCUAGUAGGAUGCAGCCAAGGAAGGAAAGGCACAUGGCAGCAAACAAAUAAGGCAGAAAAGAAAACCACUAAAAUCCACCCACAGGAUAACACUCUGCCUCCACCAAUAGAAGAAACAACAAAGGAACACACUCAUUUGUUAGCAUGCACACCCACACGAACGACACGCACGAUAUAUCAACAACAAAUACACACAGAUACACGAGCACUGGCCUAGAUAUGCAAAGGACCAACAGCUUAGAGAAGAAGUAGGCGAGGGGUCAACCUGCAGUUCCCUGGACAUGGACGAAGACAUGAAGGCCGCCACGGAUCCAACAAGAUCAACCAAAAUAAGGAGCACCUGACAUUCCAAAGCAAAAUAAAUGUCGACAUCACGGCUCAGCUGAAGUAGAUGAUGAAAACCAGGUCAAAAUGGAGGUUUACCCACAGGUCGAUGAGCUCAGUAACAGAUCCGGACCAGCGAUGGGAAGAACUACAGAUCUGCAGGCAAAAGAGACCCAAAAUAAAUCAUAACUGACCUAUCCAACAGGGAGAAAGCACAAGCGACGGUGGGAAUCACCUUAGCCAGCGUCAUGGCGGGACAAUUCCACGGACCAGGCAACAGAACGGCAUGGGGAAAUGCAUCAAGCAAAGUGUUAUUCACUUGUUCUACAAGAAAAGAAAUAAGUAAAUGCUUGGGAGAAAUGGAAGAAUUAAGAACAGACCACAUUCUUGCUCAUGAUUCAUGAAAAAGGCACUAUCUACACUACCAAUUUAAAGAAAUAAACUUGCAUCAGUUGGGAAACAACGAAUGUGUAUAGUCCAGUGCAGAAGAUAUUACUUGCGAACAAAAAAAAAGAAGAAAAAAAAAUUACAGCCAAUAAAUGUAUUGCGUGUAACUAAAUAGAUUUUAGUAAAACAAAGCUGGUUCUCAGACAGCGCACUGUUAGUAUCAUCUCCAAGUAAUAUCAUAGUAUGAGAGAGAGUACCUGUAGGUUGUAGAGUGCCACAAGCGAACGGUGCCAUCCUCUGCGCCAGUAAUUAUAGUAGGUAGUUCUGGAUGGAAACAGACAACAGACACAUUGUGUGCAUGUCCUUCAAGUGUUUGAACACAGCUCUUGGUUUGGUAAUCCCAAACCUGAUCCAAAAAAUGAAGUAAUAAGUCAGAUCAAUCCCAAUAUACCCUCACAAUAGCACAAUUCAUCGCAGAAGACACGCCUUUGCAGUCUGAUCAUCAGAUCCAGUAAUUAAAAAUGGUCGAUCACCACUGGUGAAGUAAUCAGCAUAGUUCACGCCUUUUGAGUGGCCAUCUAAUGUGAAGUUAGGAUCAGGAGAACCAAUACUCCAUAUAUGAAGUUCACGUUGAAUAUUAGGAUAUCAAGCAGGGUACAGACCAAGAUACAAAACAUGACUCAGUUUAACCAGCAUCUUUUUGAGGAACAAUUACCAAUGCAUACAUACAAAAUAUUUCUUUUCCUAAACCAGUCCAUAUUCAUCUCCUUGUGAAACCAAUUGACCAUGUUCUUUAUAGCAUUCAACAGCACAGGCUCCCUUCUGGAUUAAAAAAAAUGAUAUCAUACGAACCCACUGUCUCCCCAAUAAUACAACCACUACAAAUUAUUAAUGAGGAAAUUAGAAAAGGCAGGGAUGGGGAUCUGCUAUACCCGGGGCGUGCAGAGGUAGCAGACGCGGAGCUCCUUCUUGUGUGUGUGCCGGAUCUCCUCGUCCAAGGCCGACAGCAGCGAGCUCGCCAAUCAAACCCUGGGUCAGGGCCACGGGAGGUGGAGGGAGGCAUGCCAGCCAAGAUUUUUAAAAGGGAACAUAGAGCAGCAUGAGCAUGGGGCAUAGAAUAAAUGGGGUCACCUUAAGAUCAAGAAUCAAUGGCCCUCACUCAGUUCAAAUCAGAAGGAAAGAACCACUAUUAUUGAUUAGAGUUAUUCUUAAUUAGGCAAAGCACUACAACACGGGAUCCUAAGCUACAGUUAAGGCAUACAAAACUAUAAGUGUCCGUUCUUUUCAUAUAUAAACAACCUUUAGUAUCUCAACCAGAACCAAAGCAAAAAAAUCAUGGUUAAGUAACCAGCAAAGGAAGAAUGAACCUUUUGGAAUUUUAAAGUAGCAAGACAUGAAAAGUUCUUUUUUGCCUUCAAUAUUACACACAGUAGGGGAGGUAGCUGCAGUUUUAUUGCACAGUGGGCUCAGAUUCGCCUUUCCUCGAUCAUAUAACCUACCCCCAUCAUCUCUUAUCACCAGAUCAAUCUUUUUAUACAGUAGAGCUGCCCUGGUUAUCACUCAACAAGAAUGACCAUCCAAGGACAACAACAAGUAUCACAGGAUCAAAAAGGAUUCUAGAGACAAGAGGGAGGAUCCAACAUGAUACCCACAGGUGCCUCAACUACUCAAAGGCACACUUAUUUCAGCGAUGGUUAAUCAUCAUCGCCCUAGCAAGAAUGGCUUCCGACUGAUGGGGCACGUGAUUAACACGCGGUGGCACGCGUUUUGGACUACUAUUCAUUGCGACAGUGUUAGUUUUUGAUCUGGCGGCUCAAAUCGUCUCGAAGCGAGAUCCGACGGACGAAAACGCAUCAGGAAAACGACCCGACGGCCGAAAGUGCCUGAACUCUGAGGAGCCAGGUAAGGUGCUUCAGUUUUAAUUUCCGGAUGGAUCAGCAGAUCAAUAUGUUCUUAUGAGGGUGAAACUGCCCUGGUUAUCACUCAUCAGAAAUGACCAUCUAGGGACAAAGCCACUAAAAUAAGAACGUGAUCAAAAUGGCUCAAAGAAAUGAGGGAGGAUCCAAAUUAAUAUCCACAAGUGCCUCGAUUUCUCGAGAGCAUGCCUAUAUCAGCCAUAACUGAUCACCAUAGCCCUGGCCAUGUCCCAUUCAGUAGCCGAAGCAGGGCAGGGGAAAAUGGAGCUCACCGAGGGAAGUUGUAGCCGAGGCAGUACUCAGUGGACGCCGGGGUUGCGCCUGAACGCCGUCCAACCGGCGAGGAACCACGUCGGAGUUGCGCAUUGCACCGUCCCGCCGACAAGCAUGAACACCACUAGCACCGAAGCGGCCAAGGAGGCGAUGUGUAGCACAUCUAGGAGCACCAUCAGGGGCGGAGAUGACCGGGGCCUAGUCAGUUAUCUUUUAGUUGCAAUCAAGGAUAAGAUUUGUUAGAACAUUCUUGUGGUCAAAACUUAUCAUCAUAUGCAAGCAAUGGGCCUAUCUAUUAGCUGCUUGUAGUGCCAAAGGUAAAAUCAGAAGGCCUUUUACUGCCACCUUGCAUGAAGAGUUUCUAUUCACACAUGUGUACUGCUAUAUGAACCUGCACGUGCUGACUAAUUAAACAACAAAAGCUACUGAGAUGCGAACUGACUUUUCCCAUGGCCAACGGCACCUCAAUAUCACUGGUCCGAUGUUGCCCCCUGUCCAGCGAACAUAGGUUCACAAUUUUAUUAAAGUUACUAACAGCAAAAUACUGACAUAUAAAUGAUGCUAACUUAUGGAAAUCAUAGCCCAGCUGACAGGCAAUGAAUCUAAAGAACAACAUCUAAUGGUUUCUUGAGCAACGAAGCGUAAGAAACAAAUGUUGAAUCCAUAUAAAGGACCACCAGCAGCGGACCACAGAAGCAACUUUUAUGGAUCAAAGAGAAACACGGAUAAAAUAAGAAACAUGGUAAAAUGCUAAACCGACAAACAAGAAUUGUGUGCACCUUCUAUCUAAAUUCUUUGAGGGUUCUGACUUUAAGGGACCACAUAGAAGCAUGGUAGUCCCGAUUAAUGUAAUUUAAACCAUGGUGCUGGGUAAUCACAGAGGAUUUAUAUAGGUGUAUUUAUAGCAACAGUAGGGCAAGAUAUUGUGGAAUCGAACUCUGUAAAUUGCUAUUUGACAUGAGACCAAGCAUCGACAUAAAACAUAUAAGGCAUGCUCUCCUAUAACUGAAGCGCAUCCAUCUAGCAAACUAAAACACCCACCAACCUAAUUAGUUUCAGGUCUGCCUCGAGCCUCUCAUCCUUCCCAGCACCAACAGCGUCACGGAGGCACUAAGUGCUGUCCUCGAGCGUUGUGCACAUGCCCUGCACCAGGUCUGGCGUCAUCCGGUGGGGCGGGUCGCCGACAUCUGGUUAUGAAGUAUUUUCAUAUUGAGUGAUGGAAAAGGAACAUAUUUCAGUAGUACACCACAUUUAUAAGGCAUCUUCUGGAUUUGACACGCAUGAAUCAUGUAGCAAACAAAAAAAAAAAUACACG